rnacentral:lncRNA from 1 species
UUAUUUCCUCCAUUUCUUCACAACCUCGGACAUAAAUUUCCUCUAAGUUUUGGAGGCUCUUCAACGGCUCGAUUGUAAGCAACUUCUUCACCCUCGAACAACCAAUCACAUAUAAUUGUUUAAGAGAAGAGAAGGCAGGUGGUGUUGGAGCAUGAGAGGUAGAUUCAAAUUCAACCGCUACUCCUACUUCUACUCCUACUCUCACAACUUCACGCAAGUUGCGUAAGAAACAUAGUUGUAACACCUCAAUGUUGUGAAGUGCGUCGCAAGACGAUAAUGACAAGUCAACCACACACUCUAUCCCAGAACACUUCCUAAUUUGACAUAACUUCAAGUCAGGUGCCUUAUGAAACAAAGGAAUAUUGCUUAAACAUUUGAAAUCAUUACACUCCUCAAUAAGUAAAGGGUGAAGGUCAUUUGGGAGCACUAUAUCAUCACACCUCUCUAUCUCCAAAUUUCUAAAUUCAACCUUUUUCUUAAUUUCUUUGAAAUCUGGGAAUCCCCGAUAUAAAUACCCUUAAGUGGUCCCACUUGAAAAAAGAAAGAUGGAGGCCAUUUACCUUGUGCAGACUUUACAUAUUUCUUAAACUCUUGCAUGUUGCGAAAUGAACAUGAAACCCACUCAAGGUUCCUCAAUUUGCCCACUUCUUCCCCUCUUAAAUGUAACUCUCCCAGCAAGCAUUGCAGAUGAGAAAUCUUCACUAAUAUUCCUAUUGGUAGCUCCUUUAGAUGCCUUGACCUUAGACGAAAAUAUCUAAGGUUUUGUAACAUUUCUAUACCAUGAGGAAGCUCUUCAAUUCCUGUACCAUAAAGGUCCAACUUUCUCAGUGCUCUGAGCUCUGCUAAUGAAGGCACAUAUUUUAACCUGCCACAACUAGCAAGUAUCAAUGCAUCGAGGUUUUUCAAGUUAGAGAUGGAAUUGGGUAGAUCCUCCAAGUAAUAAUUACUAUAAAGAUUUAGAACUUUUAGUCUAGGCAUGUGCUUAAAGAAAGAUUCAGGAAUACUUUUUAAGCCACAUUGUUGCAAAAUCAAAGUUGACAAAUGAGGACACUCAGGUGAUAUGUGAGGAGGGAUUUCUAUUAAUUUUGAAUUUUGCAUCAAAGAAACCUUCUCAACACUCACUGUCCAUUCUUGCUCACUUGGGAAUUCUUUCAAUUGCAUACCUGCUUUUACCAUGAACUGAUGACCUUUAAUAUACAACGCCAUGUCCCUCAAAACAUCAUGCAUCUUAACUCCUUCUUUGCGACUCCUAGUUGUAGCCCUCUCUAGCAAGCAAUUAUUUUCAAGCUUAUUUAAAAUGCUAUGGCCUCUGUCAUGCAUUUCUUGUCUAGUCCUUAAGCCAUCAAGGAGUCCUUCAUCUAUCCAAUUUUCAAUUAAUUCAACUUCUCCAAUCACAAAAUCUUCAGAAUACAAGGAGCAAUAUAAGAAACAAUUUUGAAUUUUUGGAUCUUUCAAAUAGUCAUAACUGAACUUCAAACGCUCAAAUAUUUCAACAUCCGAUCCUUUCACACUUUUCACACGCUCUUUUAAUUCCAUUAAUGCAUUUCUCCACUCACAAAUAUCAUUUACCCCCUUCAUGCUUCCAGCUAUUGUGACAAUGCUAAGUGGUAAACCACCACAUUGCUCAACAAUUUUGUUGACAAUGUCUUUUAAAUUUUGAUCUUGUACAACACCAUGCCCCACACGAUCUAAGAAUAAGUUCAUGGACUCUGUCUUUGAAAGCGGUUGCACUUUGACCACCUUACAAUCCAUAGAUUGGCAGACCUCAAUCAAUCUACUAGUGAGUACAACUUUCCUCCCCAUACCUAUUGUUGGUUCAGGGAUACCCACAUCCAAUAGAGAAAACCGUUUCCAAACAUCGUCUAAGAUCAACACAUAUCUUUUUCCCUCCAAAAUAUCUUUUAAUGUUGAUGCUCUUUGCAGUUCAUCAUAUUUUGGAAGAGACUCUUUCAAAGAAUCUGCAAUAUCUUUUUGCAAUCUAAAAAUAUUCAAUUCUUUUGAUACAGUGAUCCAUAUCACUUGAUCAAACUUCUCACUUUCCUUUAACAAUCGAUUGUUGAUAUGCUUCAUGAUAGUAGUUUUCCCUAUACCACCCAUUCCACAUACUCCAAUCAUUCCAACCUUAUUACCCAUCAAAUACUCCCAAAUUUGUUCUUUUACAUCGAUUUCACCUUCUAGAUUUGGUGUUGGUAACAUCACCCCGGUGGUUGGAGGCCCAUCAACUGCCACAUUGUUAGGGAAACUACCGUUUUGGUGAAUUUCCUUUACCUCUUCAAUCAUUCGGCAAACAAAUUUUCCAAGACGACCACGUAAGAAGUAUGAAACAACAUGGAACUUGGUUUCAAUCUCUUCCAUUUCAGUGUUAACCUUUUCUACAGCUUUAAACCAGUACUCCACUUCUUCCCUCACCACUUUUCUGUGACGAAGCUCCUCUUCCUUUCUUGAUAUGAGGUCUCUCUUUCGGAUGUUUAAAACAUUCACUUUUUCUCGAAGAUCAUUCAUAUGUUCUUCAAGUUUUCGGUGAUGGUCAAUGUAUGUACAGGUUGGACCACCAAAGCACUUUAUCACUUCAAAAAUUUGCCCUAUAAGCUCCAUAUAAGCUAUUCCCUAGAGAUUAAACCAAGAUAUAUUAGAUCUCCAUAUGACAUAAGCUACUCCCUCCCUAAACUACAAUUCUAUAUUUUUCAUAUAAUACAGAAUAUGUUAGAAAAAAAUCUUACUAAUUAAAAUUUUUUUACCAAUUCUUCUUAAGAAAAAACAUAAUAUUUUUGAAAACAUUAUAAAAAACAAGAAGUUUUUGUUUCCGUCACUUAAUUACUAUAAUUAUUUUCCACCUAAUUAAGAGAAAAGAAGCAUGACAUAGACCAAUGAACAAAAAUAAUUAUGUGAAAGGAAAGAUGAUGAACCUAUGUUAUGAAUCUAAAACAUGAAUCCAAAUCAAUAUUAAACAAUUUAAUUUAUCUAGUCAAGUGAGGCAGAUGAGCUGGUACUUCUUCUAUUCUUAGAGUUUCUUGAUUAAGUUUGUAAAAGCAGAUCUCCUUGCAAAAAAUUGUCAAGAAAAUAGCAUCAAGCAGAUCUCCUUCCAAAAUAUCCUCUAUGAGAAGAAAAUGAGUAAUGAAGCACAUGAAUUAUUGAAAAGUGGGCAAGAUUAAUAUUUAUGUAAGAAACUAAAAUAAAUGCCCAAUUUGUGUCUUAAUAUUUAUAUAAAACUUAUGAUAAGAUGAAUUUGUGUUAUAAUUUAAGAUUUCGAUUAAUUAAUGUUAUCAAAGAUAAAACUAAAUCAUAAGUAUAGACAACCUACUUAAUUCCGUGAGGCAGGGAAGUGAUACUUCUAUCUUCAGAAGGCCCUUAAUAAAUUUGAGAAACAAGCCCAAUCAAGAAAAAUAGCAAUAACAAAUAGAUUAUCUCCUUGCGAAAAAGAAAAUCCUGAUCCUCCGAGAGAAGAGAAUUAUUGAAUUAUGAAGCAGAAAAGAAUUAAAGUCGGCAACUCAAUGCAAAGUUGAAUUAUUUUCAACCUAAUUAGGCAAAAAAGGAAAAAGAAUAGAAGCAUAAAAUAAAGAGAAAGACCCAAAAGAAAGUUUUAUGGAGUUUGUUGAAAGAUGAAUUUAUGGCAGAAGGUAAGAUUCAGAGAUGGUACCAAAGAUGAAAAAUAUAAGCGUAGAUACUUCAGCUUGUUGAUAUCACUAAGCAGAUCUCCUUGCAAAUUCCUGUGUAAUGAGAAGAGAAGGAAUUAUGAAGCAAAUAAGUCAAUGCAAGUCAUGACAUUGGUUUCGGGGUCACUUCCCUUAAAGCUGCUUUGAAAUAAAGAAAAUAUAAAUAAAAUAAAAGAUGAUGAAGUGAGCCUGAACACUCGUUCAUUUUUCUUAAAGAAACAAUAAUCUAAGUUAGGACAAAAAGGAAGCAUCCGAGAAGGAUCCUGCGUAAAUUUUUACCAUUAAAUUACUUUGUGAAAAGACAAAGUUAGGUGCGAAUUGAGCACAAGGAAAGAUGAAGCAAUUAAAAAUUCAUCCAUUGUGUUAGUGGCGAAAUAAAAUAAUGAAAAGUUAGAGAAAUAGGGAGUCAUGAUUAGUGACUUGUGGGGUAGUAAUUGGAUUCCCCUUCUAGGUGUUUUGUGUUAUGCCAUAAACUUAUUACAUUAAUCUGAAUUUAUAAUUUAUAAAGAGAAUUAUUUCAACCUGAAAACUGAAAAAUAAGUAUCCCAAUCUGCAAUAGAAUGAUUUGACUAUGCACAGAAUGUGCAUAAGCUAUGAUCUACUGAAUGUAGUCCAUUUUAUAAGGGGACAAGAAACGAAUUGCCCUGUUCUUUGAUGGAGCUUCAGCAUCAUGCUUCAACCAGAAGUUUUCUACUGAGUUAACCGGAUUGUUAGUUCCUUGAUUGAUUUUCUAGUUAAUGAGCCAUAUCAGAUUACUUAGACUUGAGAAAUAGAAUUUCAACUUCUAAGGUUCUAAAUGUGACUAGUUCACAAAAUAUAUAGAAAUAUAAGGUACAAGAAGAUGAUGAUGAAGAUCAUUAAGUAAAGAUAUUGAUGAAGUGUGACGGUCAUUUCAUUGUUGAAGAUGAUUCAUGGCCGCCCCGUGGAACUGCUUCAAAAUAGUUCUUUUCAGAUAGUCCUAAAUAAUUGCUGCUGCACACACAACAGACAAAUGUGGAUGCAGCUUAUCACUUCUGAUAGAGCAGAGGACUCCCCUAAGAAUAUGGAUCAUCUGCUAGUUCAAAUUGUCUUGACUCUUUCCACAAUCUCCAUUCCUGAUACAUAUCAAAACCAUUUUGUCAUUUAUUAGUUUGAAAACUUAAUUAGUUAAAUGAUAAUACAUUGCACAACACUUACAUGUCCAACAAGGCUCAACAUUGGUUGAUAAAACCUUCUAUUCUUCUCUCCACAUAUUAUCUCCAGCAAUAGCCAAAUAUAGUACCCAUCAACAAGUGGGUUAAUUUAUCCUUACCCCAUCAACCUUAAGUUAAGCUUUUGUUUUGGUCUGAUAGUUUAGGUGCACAAUCGAUCAAGAAGUGGAAUUUUUUCUGUCAAUAGCAAAAAUUAAAAUCAGAAACUGUUUUUUGACCAAGAAAAGAAGCAAAUAAUUGAAAUUUUGUAGUUUUAAGAAGGAAGCAAGACGAUUACCAGACGAGAAGCUGUGUUCAGCCAAAUGAAAAGGCAAUAGCAUUUCCUUAGCAUUAGGAUCAUCCCAUUCCAGUGAUUCCCACCAUUCUUCUGGAUAUAAAACGAUUUGCUCAACAGGAGGAGUGGGAGGAGAUGGUAGUCCAUUUUCAAGCAGGGGAAGAGAUAAGGGGAUCCUUUUUAACUUCGGACAUUCUAUUACCUCAAGAUAUUGACGAGAGUUUGUUGGAAUCAUAAGUCCAAAAACCACAAAUGCUUUUCUGCUCUGGUAAUUUCAACAAGGAAAGUUUCCUUAAUUUGGGAAGAAUAAAUGUUAUGUGGUAAUUGCCCUUCCUGCCUCAAUUUCCUCCAACUUUUGAAAACCCUACAGCAGCUUAAUUGAACACAACUUCUUCAUACUCGAACAGUUUCUCAAGCAAAACCUUUUGAGAGAAGAGAAAAUGGGAGGUGGUGUUGGGAUGUGAGAUGGAGAUACACAUAGAUUCAUGGUUUUCAUGAAUAAGAUAAAAAUGUUAUGAUCACCAUUUAAACAUAAUAUAUAUAUUAUAUAUAAUAUAUAUAUAUAUUAGAGUAAUCACACUAAUCAUAUCAAAUUAAACUUAUACUCAUAAUUUGCGUGCAACAUCAAAUCACCAAAUCUUAUACAGAUAAUUUAAACUAUUAAUCUUGUUUAAUUAUAUAUGUAUUCAUCAUUUGAAGGGCUUUGUAAAUUUAUAAAGUAAACAACAAUAAGCAAUAAUUAUGUUUAUUUUCAAUAUCUUGGUAUUGAUACAUCACUUCCCAAAUAUGCUUUCCUUUUCUUUUUCAUACAUAGACAUUGUCUUGUUUGGAGAUUGUAGCUAGCUAGAUACCAUUAUUGCCAGUCCAAGAGGUGACACUUUGGAGAUUGAAUAGAAUUUAAUUUUCAGGUGUUUUGGUCUUGAGAUGAGUGUCAACAUUAAUUCCUUUGGAUCUCUUGAAUUAGCUUUUGUAAAUAAAAGAAGGUAUCCCUCCUCAAACAUGGAAAAUCCCCUUUCAAACCUAUAAUUUUAAAGAAAGAAAAUCCUAAUUUAAUAGAUUAGUUGCCAACUAGGGACAAGCUCCGUUGAUGUGACAUUAAUUUUGGUAUAUUCUAACACUUGUUGACUAGAUUCAAUUGGAUAGGAUUUUUAAUUUGGGUGAAAUUUACGGGUACUGAUUAAACAAUGGAAGUGACAUUGGAGGUUCUAAGUCCCUUUCACCUAAGAGAGAAAUGAGUUUGUUCAAUUGACACAGCUUUGGUACAAACAGAAAGUAAGCUAAUACCAUAUCCAUAUUUCUCAUGUGACUUGCAACAAAUUUAAGACUGAAGUAUGGCAAAAUAUUGGGUAUUUGUAUAAAUUACAAUACAGAUAAAGAAAAAAAAAAAAGAAAGAGACUAAAUAGAAAGGGGAAGUGGAAAGAUCCCCAAAAUCAAUUAGUUGCAAGUGGAAGGAGCAAAGCCCAACUUUGUUGGCAACAAGGUCAUGUUCCCACAGAUGAUUUUGUUGCAGAGUGUUGUCAAUAAUAUUUACUUCCAAGCUGUCUUUUGGUAAAUAGAAGCUGAUAAUGGUUAUCUGGAUCAAGCUCAAAUAUAGCUCCAUCUUCAAAAAUGAAUUGCAAAUCUUGACACUGAUGAGAAAAUCAAGCCUUUUUAUUGCUUUUAAUAAAAGCGUAUAAAAUUUGAAGGGUGCUCAGUUGGGGAAUUACUAGUUCCCAAGUAAUAGUUUUAACUGCUACUUUCUUGUACCAAAUUCCCAAGAAACGAUUCUUAGAGCUUCCAGGACAAAGAAACCAAGCUUAAGGAUUCCAUCCAUCACUAACAGACUGGGAGGAGGUGGAGAUAUCGAUUCCAUCAGCAAUACUUAAAAACAAUAUUAGCAAAAUGGUGUUGGUGAACAUGAAAGACAGAAUGUCUAUUUGUCUCAACUUUCAGAGCUUGUAAAACUUAUAGAAAAACUUUUCAGUUUGGCAGAUUUUAGAGAGCAAACAUAUUUAAACUGAUGGUCGUUGACUAGUAUGCAAGUCUUCCUUGAAAAGACCAAACUUUUCAGGUUGCACAGAAUUCUUAUUUCUGAUUUUUAUGAGGCUUCAGUGUAGUCAUCUUGUAUUGUCUCUGUGAAUUGUAUAUACAUAUUAUACCCCCAAGUGGGCACUUGCAGGGUGCUAAGCUCAAACUGGGACUAAACCACUGGUAUCAAAGCAUAAGGGACAUAAACAUACGGAUCGAUAGCCUAUAAUAAUGGCUUGGAGAUGAAAGAGCUUAAGUAUACAGUUUAUCAAUUAUCGAGCAUCUAGUACUGACAGAGUUAUUUCAUUUGUGGAAGAAGAUACAUGCUUGUCUGAUGAAGAAUCUUCUUCAAGUGGACUUUUCUUAGACAAAAUACCAGGUUGUUUGGGGUGUGGCAAUUCAGUUUCACUUCCCAACAUCAGAAUCACAAAUGACAUACGUGGCCUCUCCUCAGGGAUUUUGUCAUUUAUCAGUUAGAAAUGUUGAAAAUCUCAAGGAUUUUGUUAUAUUUGCAGACCAUUAUCUGUUAAAAUGAUAAAGAUAAAACGAGAGAGAAAAUAUAAUUGAACACAAAGUCUCCCUACAGUCUUUUCAUUCAACAAUAACACUUAUAAAUACAUUUACAGGAGAGAGAAGACAACAAUAAAAUAAAACAACACGUAAAGUAAAAUAACUGCACAAUAUCCAUAUCUUACAUAAUCACCUACUUUACAAUACAAACCCACUACCUAACAUAACAAUAACUGACUCAACAUGACAAUAAUUGUAAAAGAGAAAAUAAACUGAUAUUAACUAAUAAAUUAAAAAAUUGUUGAGAAUAACUGAAUCUGAUUCUUCAAGUCAAAUCUCAUUCUUCAACAAAACUUGAUUAGUUAAAUGAUAAUACAUUUCACAACACUUUUAUGUCCAACGAGGCUCAACACUUUUGUCUGGUUGAUAAAAGCUUCUAUUUUACCUUCCACAAAUUAUCUCCAGCAAUAAUAUACCAAAGCUAAAUACACUACCCAUCAAGAAGUGGGUUAAAUUAUCCUUAACCCAUCAACAUUAAGUUAAGCCUUUGUUUUGGUCUGAUAGUUUAGGUGCGCAAUCGAUCAAGAGGUAGAAUUUUUUCUGUCAAUAAUAAAAAUUAAAAUCAGAAACUAUUUUUUGACAAAAAACAGAAGCUAAUAAUUGAAAUUUUGUAGUUUUAAGAAGGAAGCAAGACGAUUACUAGACGAGAAGCUGUGUACAGCCAAAUGAAAAGGCAAAAGCAUUUCCCUAACAUUAGGAUCAUCCCAUUCCACUGAUUCCCACCAAGUAAUUGUUUGGCCCUUGAUCCAAUAUAGACUUGGUGUAUUCUACUGAGAUUUGUAAAUUUAUUUUCUUAAAUUGAAAGCACUGUUGUGAAGAUUUUUCCCUUUCGAAAUGAUUGGUUUUUCAAUGUCAGACAAAUUAAGAAUACACCAUACUUUAGAAAUGGAAACAUAUAUAAACUACUUAUUAAAUUACUACAACAUCAAGCAAAUUACUGUAAUGAACAAGUGAUAAUGAAGUCAAUAUAAUCCAAGAAGAUAGAUUGAAGGGAGUUCAGUUGGCUAAUUGAUGCAGAGAAUAUUUGGAGCAGACUGGGUUAAUCCUUGUCCAAAACUCCUUGAAAGCCUCUUCAUAGCAAUUUCCUGUGACCAUUUACUAAGAUAGAUUGAAAGACCGCCUGCAAAUAGGAGAGAAGAAAAUGUUGAUGUAACGACCCAAGUCCAAUCACCGGCCCAGCAACUUUUCGAACCUAAACCAAUCACUGGCCUAGCAACUUUUCGAACCUAAACCACAUGGCCCUUAAAAGCUUAAGCUUAAGUUACUAGUAGUGAUGGACUUGGAUUGUUAUAUAGGUAUUAACAAUCAUAUUCAUAUUAGACGUGAGAUUUGAGGUAUCACAAUCCGACCCAUUCAGAUCCUUGAUGUCAUCAUCAAGACCACACAUCACAUUCACGAGACCAAGAUCUCAUUAGAGCAAUGUGAAAGCUCACAUCGGACUAGCGCAAGCUCUUAUACCAUUUGUAAUGACCCAAGUCCAAUCAUUGGCCCAGCAGCUUUUCGGACCUAAACCACAUGUACCUCAAAAGUUGAAACUCAAGUUACUAGUAAUGAUGGACUUAGAUUGUUAUAUAAGUUUUAACAAUCAUAUUUAUAUCAGAUGUGGGAUGUGAGGUAUCACAAUGAACUUGAGUUUAAGUUUUUGAUGACCAUGUGGUUUAAGUCUAAAAAGCUGUUGGGCCAGUGAUUGGAUUUGAGUCAUUACAAAUGGUAUCAGAGCCUACGCCAGUCCGAUGUGAGUUUUCACAUUGCUCUUAUGAGAUCUUAUUCUCGUGGAUGUGAUGUAUGGCCUUGAUGAGAACAUCAAAGAUUUGAGUUGGUGGGAUUGUGAUAUCUCACAUCCCACAUCUGAUAUGAAUGUGAUUGUUAAAACCUAUAUAACAAUUCGAGUCUAUCACUACUAGUAACUUGAGCUUAACUUUUUAAGGACCAUGUGGUUUAGGUCCUAAAAGCUAUUGGGCCAAUGAUUGGACUUGGGUUGUUACAGUUGAUUAACAUCAACAAGUACAUCCCCUAGAUAAAUGAAUAAAAAUAAACACAGAAUGUGGAUAAAAAUAAACUGAGACUAUUUGCAGUUUUAAGAAAAAACGUUGAGGACUUUACCGAUGUGAACCGUCGAGCCACAUUUAAUGGAGUAGAUUUUCUCCAUCUCAUUCUACCAAAUAAAAACAAAGGGAGAAAAGACAUGCUUAGCAUCAAGGUGAUCCCAUUGCACUGAUUCCCACCAUUCACUCUGGCUUACAUUGAUUUCUUCUAGAAAAGGAAGAGGACAUGGUUGCCCAUUUUCAAAAAGGGCAAGACACAAAGGGAUCCUCUUUAGAUUUGGACAUUUCCAUAUUCGAAGAUUUCGGAGAGAAUCUGUAGGAAUCACAACUCCACCACUGUAAAUGCUUUUCAAUUUUGGUAAGUAGAUCAUCCAUAAUGAUUUUAAUUUAAGCAGAAUGAAUGUUGUUCUUUCUCCUUUACGAUUUUCUUCUUAUUCUGAUGCUAUUAUUUCCUCUAUUUCUUUAUAGUCUUCAACUUUAAUUUCCUGUAAGUUUUAGAGACCUUGCAACAACUCAAUUGGGAACAACUUCUUCAUCUUCCAACACAAAUCUAGAUGCAAUAAUUUAAGAGAAAAGAAGAUGGUAGGUGGGGUUAGAGGAGGAGAGGUAGAACCAAAUUCAAGCGCUACUCUUACUCUCACAUGUUCAUGCAAGUUCCACAAUGACUUAAGGAAUAUCUUCUUAAUGUCAUCAAGUGUGUUGCAAGGCGACAAUGACAAGUCAACCACACACGCCGUCCCUUUACACUCCUCAAUUUAACAUAUCUUCAAGUUAGUUGCCUUACGAAACAAAGGAAUAUUGCUUAAACAUUUGAAAUCAUUACACUUCCCAAUACGUAAAGUAUGAAGGCCAUUUGGGACUAGUGUAUCUUCUAUUUUCUCCAUCUCACAAUGCAUGAAUGUUAUCUGCUUUUCAAGUUUCUCUAAAUUUUGGACAGGUAGACUAUGUAAAACCUCAGAUGAUCCUACUUCAGGAUAAAGAUUUUUAGGCCAUUUACCUUGUAUAGACUUUGCAUAUCUUGAACUCUUACAAGUCACAAAAUGAACAUGAAAGAAUCUCAAGCUUCAUCAAUUUGCCUUCUUCUUCUCCCAUUAAAUGCGGCCCUACUAUUAAGCAUUGGAGAUGAGACAUCAUCAGCAAUAUUCCUACAGGCAGCUCUUUUAUAUUAGAUGACCAUAGACGGAGAUAUCUAAGGAUUUCUAACUUUUUUAUUCCAUGAGGAGCCUCUUCAAUUCCCAUAUACAAAAGGUCCAACUUUUUAAUGCUCUAAGCUUUGCCGAGGAAGGCACACAUUUUAAUAUGUAACAACAAAAAAGUAUCAAUGCAUUAAGAUUUUUCAAGUUACAGAUGGAAUUGGGUAGAUCUACAAUCUGAGUACGAGAAAGAUCUAAAACUUUUAGGUCAGACAUGUACUUAAAUAAAGAUUCUGGAAUCCUUCUUAAGCCACAGUUUUGCAAUAUCAAAGUUGACAAACGAGGACAUUCAGGUGAUAUGUGAGGAGGGAUUUCUAUUAAUUUUGAAUUGUCUAAUAUCAAGGAAACCUUCUCAACACUCAUUGUCCAUUCCUGCUUAAUUGGUAGUUCCUUUAAUUGCAUGUAUUGAUGACCACUACUUUUAACAUACAAUGCCACGUCUCUCAAAACAUCAUGCAUCUUAACUUCUUCCGUAUAAUCAGUUGUAGUCCUUUUUAACAAGCAAUUAUUUUCAAGCUUAUUUAAAAUGCUAUGGCCUUUGUCAUACAUUGCUUGUCUAGUCCCUAAGCUAUCAAGGAGUCCCUCAUCUAUCCAUUUUUCAAUUAAGUCUGUUUUUCUAAUUCUAAAAUCCUCAAGAUACAAGGAGCAAUAUAAGAAAUGAUUUUGGAUUUCUAGAUCUCCCAAAUGGUCAUAAUUGAACUUUAAACACUCAAAUUUUUCAAUGUUCGACCCUUUCACAAUUUUCACUUGCUCCUCUAAUUCAUUUAGUGCAUUCCUUCACUCACAAAUAUCAUCUACUUCUACCCCUUUUAGGCUACUAGCCAUUGUCACAAUGAAAAGUGGUAAACCGCCACAUUGCUCAACAAUUUUGUUGACAAUAUCUUUUAAAUUUUGAUCUUGUAUAACACUAUACCCCACACAAUCUAAGAAUAUAUUCAUGGACUCUUUUUUUGAAAGCGGUUGCACUUUGACCACCUCACAACCCAUAGAUUUAUAGACCUCAAUUGAUGUACUAGUGAAAACUACUUUCCUCCCCAUACUUAAUGUUGGUUUUGGGAUUUCCUCAUUUAGUAGAGAAAGUCAUUUCCAAACAUCGUCUAAGAUCAACACAUAUCUCUUUUUCUCUAAAAUAUCUUUUAAUGUUGCUACUCGUUGCAAGUCAUCUACUGGAAGAGAUUAUUUCAAAAAAUUUGUAAUAUCUUGUUGCAAUUUGAAAAUAUUCAAUUCUUUUCAUAUAGUGACCCAUAUCACUUGAUCAAAUCAAUUAUCCUUCAACAAUUGAUUAUUGAUAUGCUUCAUGAUUGUAGUUUUCCCUAUACCACCCAUUCCACAUACUCCAAUCAUUCCAACCUCUUCACCCAUCAGAUACUCUGAAAUUUGCUCUUUCAUAUUGAUUUCACCCUCUAGAUUUGGUGUUGCUAAUGUCAUCCCAGCAAUUGAAGGCCCAUCAACCGCCACACCAUCAGGGAAACAACCUUGUUGGUAAAUUUCCAUUACUCCUUCAAUCUUUCCGCAAAGAAAUUUUCCUAGAUGGCCGCAUAAUAAGUAUGAAACAGCACAGAACUUCUUUUCAAUCUCUUUCAUUUCAGUCUUUACCCUUUGUACCUCUUUAAACCAGUUCUCCACUUCUUUCUUCACCUCUUUUCUGUGACGAAGCUCCGCAUCCUUAAUGGAUUCAACAUCUUUCUUUCGAGAUUUCAAAGCAUCCACUUUCCUUCGAAGCUCAUUCAUAUGUUCUGCAGGUUUUCGAUGAUGAUCUAUGUAUCUAUAGGUUGGAUCCCAAAAAUACUUUAUCACUUCAUAAAUUAGCCCUAAAAAGUCCAUAUAAGCUACACCCUAUAAUUUAAUAAACCAACUUAUAUUACAUCUCUACAUGAUAUAAGCUACUCCCUGUACUAAAAUUCAAUAAAAUAAUAUGUAGCCUAUACGUUACAAAAAAAAUGUUACAAAAUAAUAAAUUUUUAAUUUCAAAAUUGGAAGACUAAAUUUACUAUAUGUGAUUUUUUUAUAUAUUUUACACAUUUAAUACGAAUUCAAAUGAGAUUAGGCAAGAAUUUGUAAUUGUUAGCCUAAGUGAACAUAGAAUGACCAUUUAAUGUUAAAUAUUCAAAUUCAAAAAUGGAUAUUGUCACCCAAAAAUGUAUUUGCUAGCAUAACUCAAAUAAAAGGAAAACUUUAUAAUAUUAAAAUUUGCAUUGAUUUCACUGUUUUCUCUACCAAUUGUUUCAAAUAGCGUUUAUUGCUAUUAAUUUUUUUGACCAUGACUCCUAAUUUGAUUUUUGUUUCAUACUUAUUACUUAUUUAAUUGUUCACAUUCAUAAUUCAGAGUUUACCUUAUAUGGUUACUUCAACUUUACCUCUUAAAAUAUGAGAUAUCUUGAAAUUAAUGCUAUAAAUUGCAAAUUUUUUCUACUUACUUGGUAUGUUUUUGUUAAAGAUUAUAUAUAGUUUCUUAGGCUAUUCUCCACUCAUAUUUAGUUUCUAUGUUUCCCUAAUCCAAAUUUCCAUCAUCAAAAGUUUGAUUUCUUCUUUUUGCAGACCUCUUUGAAUUAUUCAAUUUUGUCUAUAUAUGUAUUUUGACCUCAUUGAUUUAUAAUUAUUUAGUAGUUAUGUAUUUCAACCUCUUUAAUGAACUAUUCAAUUUCUUAAUUUAUUUUCUUUAGUCAAUUGUUUUACUGUAUUCAUAUGAGUAGAUUUUCAUCAGAAUCAUUUAAUCUUCUAAGACGUUAUUCAUUAACAUGGAUACUUCCAACUUAAUUUUUUUUUACAUUCUACUUUAUAUUUUAAAUUCUUAAAAAUUAUUAUAAAAUAAAAUUAUCACCUGUGCAUUGCAUGGGGAUAAAUCUAGUUUUUGAUAAUAAUAAACAUCAUCUUAACCAAUAAUAAUGAUAAUAAUAAAUAUCAAAGACCCAAGCAAAUAUUAAUCAUUUUGAAUUGAUAGUCCUAAAUAUUUUCAAUUGUGGAUUAAUAAAAUCUAAACAUGAGUAAGGAAUAUAUAUAUUACAUCUUUUUGAUAAUUAAAACAACAAAGCUUGUGACAACAACAAUAUAUCAUAAAAAGAUAUUUAAGAAAUGAUAGAAAGAAUAAAUUGAGAGAAUAGAAUGAUAUUUAGGGUCCGUUCGUUUUGCAGUAAAAUAUUUUCCGGAAAAUAUUUUCAGGACUUAUGCUUGUUUGGUAGAUGGAAAAUUAAUUUCAGAUGUAAAACAUUUUACGAGUUAAUAGGGUUAACCAUGGAAAAUGUCUUAUACGCUUGAAUGGCGUAAGACAUUUUUCAAAGAACAACAAAAACACUUUUAUGCUAAGUUUAUGAUUAUAAGUUUGAUGAAUAUUAAUAUUUAACUUAAAAUAUUAAAAAAAUAAAAAUAUUAAUAUUUAACUUUAAAAUAAUUACUUUAAAAUAUUAAUAUUUAAAUUAUACAAUACUAUUAAAAUUAAAAAAAAUAUUAUUGUAAUGAAACCAUUCAAUACAAUUAAAUUUUUUAUUUAUAAAUGGAAUAAAUCUUAUUAAUAAUUAUAAUAAAAAAUAUUUCAAUGAUCAUUAUUUGAUUAAUACACAUUUAUAAUAGUUUUAAAUCUUACUAAUAAUUAUAAUUAAAAAUAUUUCAAUGAUCGUCAUUUAAUGAAUACACAUUUAUAAGCAUAGAUUUAGGAUAUCUUACACAAUUGAUAAAUAUUUACAUUUUAUAGUUAUGAUAAAAAAGUGAUAAAAUGGAAAUUUUUUUGAAAAUUAGAGUUUAUUUUCAUCACAGAUAUGUGGUUAAAUGNGAAAUUUUUUUUUAAAUUAGAGUUUAUUUUCAUUACAGAUAUGUGGUUAAAUGCUUUGAGAAAUAUCAUUAUUGAUUUUGUCCAUUUUCAUCUUCAUUCUUAAUUUUGAUCCCAAAUUAGUGAAAAUCAAAUAUCAAUAUUGUUUUGUAAUCAACUCCUAUUUAUUAUUUUAACGCCUAAAUAAGUCCACCAUAAUGAAAAAUAUUUUUCAUAAAAUGAUCCAAACAACUGAAAAUGUUUUCGAUAGUUUAUCCAAAUAAUAAAAUAUAUUAAAUUUUCCUAUAAAAUAUUUUACAUAGGAAAAAUUUUCCUUCAGUAAGUCAAUUUACGAUUACCAAACGGACCUUAAAGUACCUGGUUUCCUUUUCAAAUUAUUUGGAAAGACCAAGAAUAGAGGUUAAGUAGAUGAACUGCAAAUUAAUCCCCUUGGCUCCUUGCGUUAAGUAGAAAUUUUUGUGGAAAAUUAAAAAUCUUAUUUUUAACACCAGUAGUGUUAAUUCAAAUUUAUACUUGUACCAAUUCAAAUUUAUAUUUAAGAGGAGAAUCAAUCCAAUCUGAAGAGUGAAAAAGUCUUGAAUUAAUUCCUUGUUGCUGAUGUAGAGAGAUGUAGUUGUAGAAGAAACUAUGCAUAGAAGGAACAAGUUUAGCCCUUGAAAAGAGCCUUGUGGAUGGCUCUUGAUCUUUACACAAAUGCUGCAGAGAACUUGUAAAUGAUGAGCUUGCAUGGAAUUUGUAUAUCUUAAUCAUAUGAAGCUUCAGUUUGGUCCUUCAAUUUCUCUAUCUAUGAAAUAAACACAAGGCAUUGUAUAUGAACUAUUCUAUACAUCUCAACUCUUCUUGGACAUAGAGAAAACCACCUUCAACUUGCUUUGAAAUUUCCUUCCUUGGUACAUGAUGCUGUCAAGUUAAGAACAUUGAAAAAUAGGAUUCAACCUUGCAAUCUAUAUUGACAUGAGGUUAACAUAAUUCUAAUCCAGUAUUGCAACUCCAUUACUGUCGACUCAAUCUGUAAUUAAUUUAAACAUAAGGGAAAGUAAGGUUAGAUUCAUUCGCAUUGGCUUUCUCUGCCCUGCUUUUAGAAAUUUCGUUGGUGAAAUUGGAUAAUGCUUCUUUCAGAUAAAAGACUUGAAGAUACCCCUUAAUAAAAGGAUUUGACAAAUUCUAAAUAUAAUUAGUUGAAUCAUAUGCAGAAACUGAAUUUGAAUCUCAAAAAGAAGAUUUUCUUCUCAUGAAAGCCUCUGUCAAGAACAUAUCCAGAUGACUUACAAUUCAAGUGAAUUUGGAUAGUGCUUCUGAUGAAAGCCUUCGAACAUUAGAACUACAGAAGACAUACAAUUCAAGUGACCAGAUUCCAGAUCAAAUAUGAACAAAUCUUGUAAAUUAGCAUUUUCUCCGCUCCUUGUUAUGCAACGACCAAGAGGCUUUACAGGAUUACGCUGCUGAAGCUUGGCAAUCAAUUUCACAUCAUUUCAUAGCACAUACAAUCCUUGUCAAGAACUCCUUCAAAGCCUAUACACAGCAAUUUGUCAUCCAUCUGAUAAUGUACCUUGAAAGGUUAAAAGUAAAGAUUGCAAAAGGGUUUUCCUUGUACAUACGUCCGAAUCCACCUUAUCCAAGCUUCUUGUAUAUUGGUGACUUUAGCUAUAGAGGAUAGGUCAAACAAGUCGAACCUCUGUGUUUUCCUUAUUGCCUACAACGUUCUGCUCAGCUUCUCCCAUGGUUUCUUUCUCUGAAAUAGAGGGAAAUGUGCCUCCUUAAGUGUACAGUUUUAAUGAUUUUUUUUUUGGAAGAUAUAGUGAUUUUUCAAUGCUGUUUUUUCCUCUGUUUUUUCUCCACUGACAAAUGAUUGAUACGCAAUUUCUAGCAAACUAUACCUUUCGAAAAAUUUCAAGAAACAGAAGAGCUAAAUGUUAUGGUUGACAAGACAAAUGAGCUUUACCUUGUAGGUUUCUCCAGAGUUUGUAAAGGUAACAGUCAAUUAUCACCAUCCCAGCAACAAUGGCAAGGUCAAUUCUGCUUUGAGAUAACAGCCAUCCUCUUCUUAGGCUCAUCUUUAGCCUUUUCAGGUUCAGAUUUGACACAGGAAAGUCAGUUAAACUUAUUUUCAGAAAGUAAGACACAGAGUUAAAAAAUGCUAAUGACACAUGAAAAAGCAAAUGAAUUAAUGAGUUAAAAUUAGGUGCAAAUUUAAUUUUGAAGCAGAAAUUUGAAUAUAAUGUACUCGCCCACCAGAAGGUUUCUGUCUGAUAUCAAAUAAUCAAAUCACAUGACUGAAAAGUUAGUGGUAGGGCCAAGAACUGAAGGUCCAUGUUUUCCUUGAAGCUUUCAGCAUGCCCUGAUCAGUUUCUUCAAUGUUUUUCUCUUAUCUAAUGUUCUGCUCAACAAAAGAAUAAAAAAUAAAAAAAUUUAAGACUAAAUGUAAAUGCAUGGUAAACUUGCUGUCUAGCUGAGAUGGUUUUAGAAAUUACUGAAGGCAUAGUGAAUGCUAAAUUUUUAAUGAAAAUCUGAUAGCCCAAUAACCAUAGGCAAAAAACAACUUGUGAAAGGACCAACCUAUCAUUGCCAUCAUCAGCCUCUUACUCUUCAUCCUCUUCUGAAGAAAAUUCUAAAACAACUUGUGAAAGGACAUCCUUAGCAUCAGGAUCAUCAAAUUCCACUAAUUCCCACCAUUUUCUUGGAUGAACAUAGCCAUGCUCGAGAGGAGGAGGAGUUGGUUGCCCAGUUUCAAGCCGGGGUAUGGAGAAAGGGAUCUUCUUGAGCUUUAGACAAUUUAUUAUUGAAAGAAAUUGGAGAGAGUUUGCAGGAACCAUAACUCCACUAGUACAAAUGCUUUUCAGUUCCGGUAAUUUGAUCAGGUGCAAGGUCUGUAAUUUGGGAAAAACAUAUGUUGUUACUUUAGGACCCCUUUCUUCUUCUUUGUGAUUUUCUUCCUCUGCUUCUGAUGCGAUUAUUUUCUCCAUCUUCUCACAGCGAUUAACUUCAAUGUACUCUAAGUUUUGCAAGCCCCGCGACAGCUGAACUGAAAACAAAUUCUUUAUACUUGAACAACGAAACAAAUGAAAUUUCCUAAGAGAAGAGAAGAUGGCAGGCGGUGCUGGAGUGUGAGAUGUAGAGACAGCUGCUACUCUUCCUUUCACAAGUUCUUGCAAGUUGGACAAACAUCGAAGACGUAGAACCUCAAUGUUCUGCAAUGAAUUGCAAGAUGAUAACGACAAAUCAACCAUGCACUUUAUUCCUUUACACCAACUAAUAGUACAUGUCUUCAACUCAUUUGCUUUACGGCACAAAGAAAUAUUGCUCAAGCUUUUGAGAUCAUGACAUGCCUCAACAGUCAGAGUCCUAACGCAAUUUGGGAGCACCACAAGAUCUUCUUUCCCUAUCUCGCAAUUAAUAAAACAUACCUUUUUGUCAACUUCGACAUCCUCAAGAUGAGAACACCAAGGAUGGCUCCUGAUGUUGCCCAAAGUAGGUGAUCCAACUCCAAGCCAGUAUUUGGAGGGCCCUUGACCCAAUAAAGACUUGGCAUAUCUCUCAAAGUCUUGUAUUUCACAAAAGAAUCCUAGAAGAAUCUCCAGCUUCCUUAGUUUGGCUACUUCCUCUCCUCUUCUAUUCAUCCAAGUUUUCAAGUAUUGGAGAUUAGAAAGCCUUAAUAGAAUUUCCGUUGGUAGUUCCUUUAGAUUCCUUGAAUAUAAAUCAAGAUAUGUGAGGCUUUCUAACAUUUCUAUACCACGAGGGACCUCCUCAAUAAUUGUAUCAAAAAGAUCCAACUUUCUCAAGGCUGUAAGCUUGGCUAAUGAAGGCACGUAUCUUAAACUGCUACACCUUCGAAGGACAAGUGCAGUUAGAUUUUCCAAGUUAGAAAUGGAAUUGGGCAGAUCAUAAAUGCCAGUAUCCGAAAGAUCUAGAACUUUUAGCCCAUGCAUGUGGUCAAAGAAAGAUUCUGGAAUUCUUUUGAGACUAUGAUUUUCUUGCAAUAACAAGGUUGACAAAUUAAGGCAUUUCGGUGAUAUCUGAGGAACUUGUGAUAUGUAAUUGUGAAUCAAGGAAACCUUCUCAAGAUUCUCUUUCCAUUUAUGCUCACUUGGUAACUCCACUAAUUGCAUACCAGCUUGAACCAUAAAGUGAUGACACCCUCUUAUAAUAGACAAUGCCAUGUCUCUUAGAACAUCAUGCACCUUCACUUCUUCCUUAACAUUGUAAGUCAUCACCCUCUCUAACAAGCAAUUAUUUACAAGCUUAUUUAAAAUAGCGCGACCUCUGUCUUGCAUUGCCUGUCUAGUUUCUAAUUCAUCAAUGAGAUCCUCAUCUAUCCAUUUUUCAAUCAACUCUUCUUCCACAAUGUGAUAAUCUUCAGGAUACAAGGAACAAUAUAAGAAACAAUUUUGAAUUUUUGAAUCUUUCAAACGAUCAUAACUGAAUUUCAUACGCUCAAAUAUUUCAAUAUCUAACCCUUUCACACUUUUAACCCUUUCACGUAAUUCAUUUAGUGCAUUCCUCCACUCGCAAGUAUCGUCCACUCCUCUCAUGCUACUAGCUAUAGUCACAAUGGCAAGCGGUAAACCACCACAUUCGUCAACAAUAAGGUUUGCAAUUUCCUUUACAGUUGGAUGUUGUAGAACCCUAUCCCCCACCAGAUUCAAAAAUAAGUUCAAUGACACCUUCUGCGAAAGAGGCUGCACUUUAAACACCUUACAACCCAUAGAAUUACAAACCUCAAUUGAUCUACUAGUGAUUAUCACUUUGCUCCCAUUAUGUAAUGUUGGUUCCGGGAUUCCCACAUCCAAUAGAGAAAACCGUUCCCAAACAUCAUCUAAGAUCAACACAUAUCUCUUUCUUUCCAAGACUUCCAUUAAUACAGUUGCCCAUUGCAACUUAUUUUCUGGAAGACAGCAUUCUAAAGCACAUGCAAUAUCUCCUUGUAAUUUGACAGCAUUGAAUUCUCUAGAUACGGUGACCCAAAUCACUGCAUCAAACUGAUUUUCCUUCAACAAUUGAUUAUUGAUAUGCUUCAUGAUGGUAGUUUUUCCCAUUCCACCCAUACCACAUACUCCAAUCAUGCCAACCUCGUCACCCAUUAAAUUUUCCCAAAUUUGUUCCUUUACAUCGAUUUCACCUUCUAGUUUUGUUGUGAGAAAUGUCACCCCUGUAGCUGGAGGCCCAUCAAUUGUUACACCCUCAGGGAAAUUACCUCGUUGAUAAAUUUCCUUUGCUUCUUCAAUCUUCUGGCAAACAAAUUUCCCUAGGCGUGCACGUGAGAAGUAUGAAACAACACGCAAUUUCUCUUCAAUCAUUUGAAGUUCAAUAUUUAUCCGUUCUAAAUCUUCAAACCAUUUCUCCACUUCUUUCUUCACCACUCUUCUGCAACGAAUAUCUGCUUCCUUUCUGAAUUCAAGGUCUUGCUUUCGAAUAUUUAGAUCAUUCACUUUUCUUUUAAGAUCAUUCACAUUUUCCUUAAGUUUCCGAUGAUGACUAAUGGAUCUAUAGGCUGGACCCCCAAAGCACUUUACCACUUCGAAAAUUGGCCCUAGAAGCUCCAUAUAAGCUACUCCCUGUAGUUUAAAAACCAAUAUGUAUAUUACAUCUCCAUAUAAGAUACUGCUUGUACUACUAUGUUAUUAAAUCUCAAACUUUUAUCAAUUCUUCUAAAGAAAAAAAAAACAAAAGAAAAAAUAUUGCUUUUAAAAAACUUUAUUAAAUACAAGAAUCCAUCAUCUAUGAGAAUAGUGUUUAUAUUUCUAAGACUACUUAUACGUUAAUGGUUUUAUAUAUAGUAUAUGUAGAUGAAUGUAUACAUGUUUGUGUUUAUAUAUUUAUAUAUAGUGUUCAACUUUCUCACUUAAGAACCAUCACAAAUUCUUUAAAUAUGUCUGACCUGUGUUUUCGAGUCUUGAUCAUUAGAACAUUAAUAAAAGGAGGAAUAAAAAAAUGAGAAAACAAUUCUCAAUAAUAUUAAACAUCAAGGACCCAAGCAACUUUCUCACUUAAGUUGUAUCACUCUCUAACAGGUAAUUAUUUUCAAGCUUAUUUAAAAUGCCCUCUGUCAUGCUUUGUUUGUCUGGUUUCUAAGCUGCCAUGGAGCCUCUCAUCUAUCCAAGUUUCAAUUAAUUUCAUUUUCUCAAUUUCAAAUUCUUCAGGACAUAAGGAACAAUAAUAUAAGAAAAAAUUUUAAAUUUUGUAUUUCUCAAGCAAUCAUAACUAAACUUCAAACAACCAAAUAUGUUGACGUUCACACCUUUCACACUUGUCACCCACUCUUCGAAUUCAUUCAGUGCAUACCUGCACUCACAAUAUCAUCUACCCCUUUCAUGCUACUGGCUAUUAAUGUCGCAAAGCGGUAAAUCGCACAUUGCUCAACAAUUUUGUUGACAAUGUCUUUUAAAUUUCAAUCUCAUACAACACCACAUGAUCUAAGAAUAAGUUCAUGGACCACGUUUUUUAAAGUGAUUUCACUUUGACAACCACACUAUCCAUAAAUUUACAGACCUCAAUUGAUUUACUAGUGAGUACAACUUUCCUCCCCAUACCUAAUGUUGGUUUUGUGAUUCCUACAUCCAAUAGAGAAAAAAUUGUUUCUAAACAUCAUCUAAAAUCAACGCACAUCUCUUUUCCUCCAAAAUAUUAUUUAAUGUUGCUGCUUAUUGCAAUAUAUCUUUUGGAAGAGAUUGGUACGAAGAAUCUGCAAUAUCUUCUUGCAAUUUGAAAAUAUUCAAUUCUUUUAAUAGGUGAGCCAUUCCACUUUAUCAAGCCAGUUAUCCUUCAACACUUGAUUAUUUAUAUGCUUCAUGAUGGUGGUUUUCCCUAUGCCACUCAUUCCAUAUACUCCAAUCAUUCCAAUCUCAUCACUCAUCAAAUACUUCAUUUUUUAAUUUUUCUUCAAUUUCACCUUCUAGAUUUGGUGUUGGUAAUGUCACCCUGGUGGCUAAAGGCCCAUCAAUUGCCACACCAUCAAGGAAACCACCUUGUUGGUAAAUUUCCUCUAAUUCAUCAAUCAUUCAACAAAAUGAUUUUCCUGGACGACCGCAUAAGAAGUAUGAACCAACACAGAACUUCUUUUCAAUAUUUUCCAUUUCAGUCACCCUUUGUACGUCUUCAAAGGUUAAAUGGAGCACAGUAUGCAAGCCCAAAAGAUUUGGAGGACUGGGGAUCUCAAACCUUAAGCAUAAAAACUUAGCUCUCCUUGCAAAAUAUUGGUGGUGGCAGUAUGGCAACGAGGAAAACGCAUUAUGGAGGUGGCUGAUUGUAGAAAAAUAUGAAAGGGGGCAAAAUCAUUGGAUCCCCUCAUCAUCAAACAUGGGAAGAAUGUCACUGAUAUGGAGAUCCAUUGUAAAUUUACCUUCCAACAAGGGUGUUCAAGAACUUGUGUGAGACCAAGCAUGUCGCUGGAUUACUAUUUUCUUUUGGCUUUACAAAUUGAUUAAUGAUGUUCCUCUUUUCUCCAAAUUUUCUCCUCUUUUCUCUUUGAUUGUUUCAAAGGAAAUGAAAGUUGUUGACGUGCAGAACAAUCGCACUUGGUCCAUAACCUUUAAACACAAUCUACAUUUAUGGGAGAAAGAAUCCUAGGAUGAGAUCCUCCACAAGUUCUCCUCGAUUCCUUACUCCAAGGAAAAGGUGAUAAGCUCAUUUGGCGGCAUGACCCUAAGGGUGCUUACUCUAUUAAAACUUUCUACUUACUCCUUGAUGCUAAUCCUAGUGCUUGAAAGUUUGGUUCAACACUAUUUGGCACUUCUCCAUUCCACCGAAGGUGCAAUGUUUCCUAGGGCUCUCGCUCAUAUAUAGAUUCUUUACCUACCAAAGGCUUCCUUUCGUCCGAGGUGUUUAAUUCAAUGUUGAGCAACUUAGAUGCCCUUGGUGCAGCCUUGUAGUGGAGACAUUUGUUCUUUGUAUUAUCUUUCAGUAUGUUGCUAGUAGUUGAUGUAUAAUUCUCUUAGGCCAUGUUUCGGAUUGUUCUGCAUUUUGUAAGCCAGGCUGGUUAGGUUCUGUUAUGCACUCUUUGUGCACUCCCCUGUUUUUUUCAUUUUCUGUUCUGCAUCAACAGUUCAUUCCCAGCCUUGUACUUUAAAAAACCAACUUAUAUUACAUCUCCAUAAGAUAUAAGCUAUACCUUGUACUAAAAAGCAAAAGAAAAAUAAGUUUUGAAAACAUUAUUAGAAACAAGAAGUUUUUGUUUCGAUCAUCUAGGUGAAUAAUGUUUACAUUUCUAACACUAUAUUUAUCAAGCCGAAUGUAUAUACUAUUUAUAUAUAGCAUAUACUUCCCCCCCUAGAGAGCCAACACAAAUUCUUAAAUAUGUCUUGCCUACAUAUCUCAAAAAGAUAUUUAAGAAAUAAUUGCAUGAAUAAAUUGAGAGGGUAAAAUGACAUUAAAAAUACCAGGUUUCUUCUUCAGGAAAGAUGAAGAACAGGGCUCAAGUAGUACAAAUUAAUCCCCUUGGUUCCUUGCUAAGCACAAAUUUGUUGUGGAAAAUAGCUGACAUAAAAGAGGAACAAUCACUAGUGUUGUAAAGGUGAAAAGCUUAUUUGCUAAAGUUUUUGGAAUUAUUCUUAUUCUUGCUCACUAUAAUUAAUUUCAGCCUAAUUAAUAGAAUAGAAGCAUGACAAAGAAAGAACCAAAAUAAUUUUGUGCAACUUGACUAAAGAUGAUGAAAUUAUGUUACAAGAUUAUAAGAUUCUAAAGAACAUGAACCCAAAAGAUUAAAAAUCAUAAUAUAAAGGAAUAGGCAGUUCAAUUACCUGGUUAAAUGAGACAAUGAAUGGGUACGUCUCCUCUCCUUAGAGGGUCUUGGUUAUAUUGGUGGAAUGGAAGAUUAAUAUCUCCUUCUAGAAUUUGUCAAGAACAGAGCAAAAUCAGAUCUCUCUGCUGGCAAAAUAAUACUAAUUGACGAUGUGGAGCAACAAAACUUGUCACACGCCCUAUAUCUACUUUCUUAUAUUUAUAUUUCAAAGGAGAAUUAAUCCAAUUUAGAAAAGUCAUGAAUCAUAAUUUCUUGUUGCCGAAAUAGGAAGAUUUGGUUAUAGAAGAAACUACGCACAACAAGUUCAGCACUUUUGUUCUUUUUUAUAAUUAAGAAACAAACAUAACCCAAAAAGACAUAUGUUUAAGCAAUCAAUAUUGCAAGAAUAAAGGAGACGGUAGAAUGAUUGCAAGGGCUAAAGCCAUAUAUAGUAGGGGAAAGGAUAUGAAACCUGUUUCCUUCUUCAAAUUAUUUGGAAAGAUGGAGCUGAACAGGUUCUGAGCCACAAACCUCUUGGAAUUUUAUGUGGAAAAGUAACUGACAUGAAAGAAGGAGAAUCAAUAGUGUUAUGAUAAAGCUGAAACUCUUCACUUGUAGCCUAUGGGUCUAGUUUCUACUCAUUAAUGGAGAGAAUUAUUGAAUUAGGAAGCAAAAAAGAAUAUAAAGUCGGCAACUCAAUGCAAAGUCAUGAUAGGAGUUGCGAAGUCACUUUCCUUGAAUUCAAUAAAAAAACUGGCCACUUGUCCUCUCUAUAAUUCCAAUAUUGUCCUCACAAAUUUCUUUAUGUGUUAAGGAAAAGACCAUAAAUACGUAGAGAUGUUAAAACAGUGUAUCGGCUGAAUAACCAAGCUACUGUUUACUGCAAUAGAACCUUGACAUGACAUAAUUACACGUAUAAAAUUAUUCUUACUAAUAAUAAAGGUUUAAAUAUUGGUCAAGUAAUUUUGGUUGGACCACACUUGACUUUUUACUUAUAAAAAAUUUAGAAUUAUUUGUAAAAAUUAUUUUAUUCAUAACUUUUAAUAUUCAAAAAGCUUGUAAAAUAGUAAAAGAUAAAAUCAGAAAAGCAAAGCAGAGAAGAAACAAUACCAAGAAGAUAGCAACUAGCAAAAUCUUCUAUCCAAAGAGAAUGAAUUUUUGGAGCAAAAACAAAAUUAAAAAAUGGCCAAGUCAAUGCCACAAGUCGUUGCUGAGGUUUCCAAGUAACUUCCCUCGAAACAUGAUAUAUAUAAAUGCAUAUUUCCUAUUUUUUGUCGUUCGGAACAUAGAAUUUUCCUUUAUUUUUAAUCUAUUCUCACUUUGUAAAUUUUGUUUGACCAUUGGCUUUCUGAAUCUAAUCUAACCUCGUAUAAUUUCAUCAUGAGGUUUGUAUAUUAAUAAUGAUCAUUGAAGAAUCUAAAAUUAACAAUUAUCAAGUGGCCACUAAAGAAAAACUAAAAUGAAGUAUACUUUGUGUGAAAAUUUUUACUUUAUUGUUCAGAGUCUAGUCUUCUAGAGAUCAUAUUCUAUCUUGUGUGUGACAGACACCAAUUCUUAAUGCUCUGCACUGAAAACGCAAUAUACAUUUGCUGAAUCGAAAUUUAUAUUCAAAAGGAGAAAUAAUCCAAUUUAAUAAAUUACUAAAAAUGUCAUGAAUUAUAAUUCCUUGUUGCUGAUAUAGAAAGAUUUGUUUAUAGAACAAACUAUGCCCAACAAGUUUAUCCCUUGAUAUAAGUAAUGAGAAAGGAAAGAGGCUUGUGCAUGAUGGGGAUUCAGCUUCUUGCUUAUCAGCCAUUUCAGAUUACUUCAAAAAAUGAAGGGGAACAGAUCAAUUCAUUCUCUUCCAGAAUAUCCUGUUUAUUAUUUCCAUGGUUAUCGGUAUCAUAUCUGUUUAUCAAACCGAUAUAUUAUCCUUCAACAAUUGAUUAUUUAUGUCCUUCAUGAUGGCAGUUUUCCUAUGCCACCUAUUCUGCGUACUGUAAUCAUUCAAACCUCAUCACUCAUCAAAUACUCCCAAAUUCGUUCUUUAAUUUUACAUCGAUUUUAACUUUUAGAUUUGGUGUUGGUAAUGUCACCCAGGUAGCUAGAGGCCGCAUACUGUCAAGGAAACUACCUUGUUACAUUUCCUUCUUCAAUCCUUCAGCAAACAAAUAAAUUUGCUAGCAUAAAUCAAACAAAAAUCAAACUUUAUUAGAUUUAGCAAUACAUCCAAUUUCCAAAUAAAAUAAAACGGAUACAAGAUACCAUCCACUAACAGUGACACAACUCCUGCAAACAAUUCAAAAUAUAUUACAGCAUAACAAUAUUCCUCCCCUUCCCACCCCAUUUAUUUACAAUGUAUCCCAACCGGCCAAUCGGCAGGCAAAGUUGGGUAAGGGGAGUGUUGCUUCCUCGAUUACUUGCAAGUGACGUAUACUUCCACUACACCACAAUCACCAUCUAUUCUCUUGGAUUGGGUUCCGACCAGUGCAUCAAAGUGUAAACUGACAAUGUUGUGAGGCGGAAGCGUAUCUUUUUCUGCCAUCGAAUAAACUUUCCUCCUUUAAAGUGAUCUAACUUGAUAAUGUUGGUAGCUAUCUCUUUAAGUGAAGCCAUUUUGAAUGCUAAGAAAAUAAGUCUUAAAAUUGUUGGUACAAAUGGGGUUUAAAUGGAAUUCAAAAACUAGCAUAAUUGACUUCAAGACAAGCCUUUCAAUAGAAGUUAUAUUUAAAUUUAUUUUGCCCCCACCACUCAGUAUGCAAAAGAGGAAUAAUGCGAAUAGCCUUAGGGAUACAAUGAAAUCAACAUCUAACUUCAUCUUACACUUUAUGAGAGUAGACCGCUAGAUACACCUGAGGAUUUACAAAAUUAUUUGGCUUUAGAGCUUACUUUUUGCAACAAGUAGAUUAUAAGGAAUUUGGACGCUUUUGUAGUUGAUGGGAACUUAAGUGUUUACGUUAAUAGAACAAAAUAUUUUUCUUACUCUUUGAUAUUUCUGCUCUUGUUUUGUUUUUGAUUUGAUGUCUCAAAAUGGUUGGCAACAAGCCCUUCCUAUAGGCUUCCUAUAGGCUUGCAAGUGUCUCUUCUUCAAUGACCCAACCCUUUCAUUAAGGCACCAUUUUGUCUAAAAGACAUCUUUACAUUUUGUUAGACAUAACUUUUGGAUAAAUGUAUUAUUUCAAUAGUCAUCUUAUGAAAAGAUAACUAUUCAUUCUAUAAAAUAUAAUCUUUGAGUUAUAAUUUGUAAUAAUAACAUUCCGUAUUUAACUUUUGAGCUAUGGUGUCUUUUUAAUUUAUCUCAUAACUUUUGAAUGUCAUUUUACUAAGAGACAUAACCAUUCAUAUGAAAACUUGCCUACAAUCCAAUAGACACACUAUGUCACUUUAUGUGACAUAACCUUUGAGCUAAGAUAGCUUUUCAUUAUAUGAUACAAUCUUUGAUUUUGAAAAUGCACCAACAACUUUGACCUUAUAAACAACUCUAAAACCACCUUCCCCUAGCUUGAUGUCCAUAGAAAAGCUAUCAGUAGCACGAGCUACGGUAGCAAGCUCCAAUAUUGGAAGCUCCAUGUCUUCAUCCUGGCCUUGAUUUUCUUGAUCAUUUUCCUUAUUGUCUUUAGUUUCUUUAAAACAGUAGCCAAAAUAGGCUUGGCAUUCACCAUAAAAUAUGAUAGAUUCUUAUGCAUUUUGAUUGAGCUAGAUAAUUGGACAAAAAGCUGAUGUGGUUUUUGAGAUCACACAAAACCAUGUAUCUCCAGUUAUUUGCUUCAUUAACAACUCUAUUUUGACACCGAUAAGCAUUGAAGAAACUGCGUGUUGAUUUGCUAGCAUCAUUACUAACAAAGGAACAAAAUGAGCAUUAUUUGUGAAGGAUAUUUCAAAGUUACGUCUGAACUUUCUGGGGCUUCUAUAAAUGUAAUAACUGACAAUAAACAGCCCCAAAACCACAGCACAGUAGUGUUCCAAUCACUGCAGCAAGCUCCAUCCUGAGCUUAUCUUUCAAUUCUGUAUGACAGAAUUUGAUAAAGAAAAGCAUAUAUGAACAAAAAAAAGUAGUGAAAACAAGAGAAAAUGUAAACUCAUACCUGAUUUUGGAGCAGACACUCUAACAUAUAGGUCCUGCCCUACUGAUUGAAAUUUUCUGUAAUCAAUCAAAUUACCAAACCAAAAGGCGCAUCCCCAAACUCUUCCUCCAUUAUCUGAACUAGUGUAUGCUUGGCUUUCUACAUUCCAUGUGAAGUCCUGUAUCAUCAGUUUGGUUCAGAACAAGUCCUGUGAUCAAUGAUUUCUAUUUGAGACAUUUUGUAUGGUUGAAAUAUAAAAUAGAAAUACCCGGACAUUGAAGAGAUAUUGAAGAGAAUUUGCAGGAAUCAUAACUCCAAAACCACAAAUGCUUUUCAGCUCUGGUAAUUUCAAUAAGGAAAGUUUCCUUAAUUUGGGAAGAAUGAAUGUUAUGCUAACAGCCCUUCCUUCUCCUCUGUUAUUUUCUCCCUCCUCUUCUGAUUCUAUUAUUUGCUCCAUUUUUUCACAAAGCCUGACAUCAAUUUCCUCCAAAUUUUGAAAACACUGCAACAGCUUAAUUGAACACAACUUCUUCAUCCUCGAACAGUUUCUCAAGUAAAAACUUUUGAGAGAAGAGAAAAUGGCAGGUGGUGUUGGGAUCUGAGAUGGAGAUACACAUAGAUUCAUGGUUUUCAUGAAUAAGAUAAAAAUGUUAUGAUCACCAUUUAAACAUAAUAUAUAUAUAUAUUUAGAGUAAUCACACUAAUCAUAUCAAAUUAAACUCAUACUCAUAAUUUGCACGCAACAUCAAAUCACCAAAUCUUAUAUAGAUAAUUUAAACUAUUAAUCUUGUUUAAUUAUAUUUGUAUUCAUCAUUUGAAGGGCUUUGUAAAUUUGUAAAGUAAACAACAAUAAGCAAUAAUUAUGUUUAUUUUCAAUAUCUUGGUACUGAUACAUCACUUCCCAAAUAUGCUUUCCUUUUCUUUUUCAUAUAUAGACAUUGUUUUAUUUGGAGAUUGUAGCUAGCUAGACACCAUUAUUGCCAGUCCAAGAGGUGACACUUUGGAGAUUGAAUAGCAUUUAAUUUUCAGGUGUUUUGGUCUUGAGAUGAGUGGCAACAUUAAUUCUUUUGGAUCUGUUGAAUUAGCUUUUGUAUAUAAAAGAAGGUAUACCUCCUCAAACAUGGAAAAUCCCCUUUCAAACCCAUAAUUUUAAAGAAAGAAAAUCCUAAUUUAAUAGAUUAGUUGCCAACUAAGGACAAGCAUUGUUGAUGUGACAUUUAUUUUGGUAUAUUCUAACACUCGUUGACUAGAUUCAAUUGGAUAGGAUUCUUAAUUUUGAUGAGAUUUAUGGGUAGUGAUUAAACAAUGGAAGUGUUGACAAUGGAGGUUCUAAGUCCCUUGCAUCUAAGAAAGAAAUGAAUUUGUUCAAUUGACACUGCUUUGGUACAUAUAGAAAGUAAGCUAAUACCAUAGCCAUAUUUCUUACGUGACUUCCAACAAAUUUGAGACUUCAGUAUGGCAAAAUAUUGGGUAUUUGAAUAAAUUACAAUACAAAUAGAGAAAGAAAAAAGAAAGAGACUAAAUAGAAAGGGGAAGUGGAAAGAUCCCCAAAAUCAAUUAAUUGUAAGUGGAAGGAGCAAAGCCCAACUUUGUUGGCAACAAAGUCAUGUUCCCACAGAUGAUUUUGUUCUUGUUGCAGAGCGUUGUCAAUAAUAUUUACUUCCAGGCUGUCUUUUGGUAAAUAGAAGCCGAUAAUGGUUCUCUGGAUCAAGCUCAAAUAUAGCUCCAUCUUCAAAAAUGAAUUGCAAAUCCUGACACUGAAGACAAAAUCAAGCCUUGUUAUUGCUUUUAAUAAAAGCAAAUAAAAUUUGAAGGGUGUUCAGCUGGGCAAUUACUAGUUCCCAAGUAACAGUUUUAACUGCUACUUUCCUGUACCAAAUUCCCAAGCAACGAUUCUUAGAGCUUCCAGGACUAAAGAAACCAAGCUCAAGGAUUCCGUCCAUCACUAACAGACUGGGAGGAGGCGGAGAUAUCGAUUCCAUCAGCAAUACUUGAAAACAAUAUUAGUAAAACAGUGUUGGUGAACAUGGAAGACAGAAUGUCCUUUUAAACUUUCAGAGCUUGUAAAACUCAUAGAAAAACUUUUCAGUUUGGCAGAUUUUAGAGAGCAAACAUAUUUAAACUGAUGAUCGUUGACUAGUAUGCAAAUCUUCCUUGAAAAGACCAAACUUUUCAGGUUGCAUAGAAUUCUUAUUUCUAAUUUUUAUGAAGCUUCAGUGCAGUCAUCUUGUAUUGUCUCUGUGAAUCAAAUAUAUAAAUAAAUAUAUAUAUAUAUAUAUAUAUAUAUUACCCACAAAUAGACACUUGCAGGGCGCUAAGCUCAAACUGGGACUAAACCACUGGUAUCAAAGCAUAAGGUACAUGACAUACUGACUGAUAGCCUAUAAUAAUGGCUUGGAGAUAAAAGAGCUAAGUAUACAGUUUAUCAAUUAUCAAGCAUCUAGUACUGACAGAGUUAUUUCAUUUGUGGGAGACGAUACAUUCUUGUCUGAUGAAGAAUCUUAUUCAAGUGGACUUUUCUUAAACAAAACACCAGGUUGUUUGGGGUGUGGCAAUUCAUUUUCGCUUCCCAAUGUCAGAAUCACAAAUGACAUACUUGGCCUAUCCUCUGGAUAUGCUGUUGUAAACUUAAACGACUGAUAAUGGAUGAAUUGUAUCACUUCUGAUAGAUUGCAAAGACUCUCCUAAGCAUUCGUCAACAAGUUUUAAAGGACUGCCUUAUUUACAUAAUCUUCAUGCCUGCAGCAAAUUGAAACCCUUUUAGGUUUUAUCAAUCCAAGAUAGGCAACAAAAAAUUGAUUAUAAAAAUAUCUGCUGAAACUGACAUGUUCAACAAGGUUGCCGCUUUGUGUUGGAUGGUAAAGCCCUCUAUUUUUUCUUCCCACUUAUUAUCUCCAUCAAUAAUAUACCAAAGCUAAAGAGAUCUGAUUUUACUGGAAGCAGUCCAUCAAUAGCAUAUUCCGUGCCAUAUAACCACUGCAGAACAUUAUCAAAAGCAAUAAAUAUAUGAGGGUAUGUAGACAUUAUGAAAAUAAAGUGAAAGUUAGUAAGUUCCAACCACUCUUUUAGCGUUCCCUUCAGUUUGGUCUCCUCCAAAAGUUCUAGCCAGUCCAAAAUCUGAAACUUUUGGAUUCAUCUCACUAUCAAGCAGAACGUUAUUAGUUUUGAGAUCUCUGUGAAUAAAAAAAAAUUAUUCAAAUGAAAUGGCAAAGAAUCUAAUUAACUCGUUUGAAGAAACUUUGGAUUUGCUAGCAUCACCAUUAACAAAGUGUUUUUUUUUUUUUUGUUUAUUUUGCAAAGGACAACUUGGCACGAUCUCUGUAAAGGAAAUGACUGACAGUGAACAACCCCAAAAGCACAACACAGUGUUAAUGCAGGAAGUUUUAUCCUAAGCUUAUCUUUCAAUUCUGUAUGAUGAAAUUUGAUAAAGAAAAGCAUACAUGAACAAAAACAAAAAAAGCAUUGAAAACAAGAGAAAAUGUAGACUCCUACCUGAUUCUGAAGCAGACAUUUUAACAUAUAGAUCCUGCCCUUUUGAUUGAAAUUGUCUGUAAUCAAUCAGAUGAUGAAACCGAAGGGCUCAACCACUACCUAUUCCUCUGUUAUCUGAACUAGUGUAUGCCAUAUAGGAAUAGUUCUACAGAUACUUAGCCCUGCGUCCCUUAAAAUUCAUACUUUUAGUUACCCAAGAAUGUGUAGCAUCUUGCAUUUUCAAAUCUUUUAAAUCUGACAAAUCCAUCUCUACUUUGGCAGUUGAAUGGCUUAUUGUGCUUACACCUUUGGGACCAGUCUGAUGAGUUCUAUCUUUCGGGAAAUUCAGGCUUAAACAUCAGCUUUCAGGGAAUUAAGGCUUGAAUCCUUUAAAAAGUGCAAGCUGAGCACCAUCACGAUUCCUUUUUGAACCACAAAGUCCAUAUCUGUCACAGUAGUCUCUUGGAGCAAAUGAGAAAAGCAUCCAAGCUUGCUUUCUGCAUUUCAUGUGUAGUCCUGUGAUCAAUGAUUUCUAUUUGAGACGCUUUGGAUGGUUGACAUAUAUAAUAGAAAUACCAGGUGGGUAGAUCAUGCAUUGUUUUCAUAAGAUGAUGUGAUUGAGUGACUUUUGAUGAAUGCAGAAUACACAAAGUGCAGCAGAAAACAAAUUAUAAACAUUGAGGUCCCAGAUAAUUUGUAUUUUUCAAUAAUAUGCAGCUUGUUCCUCUAAUCAUUCUCUUGAGUGGACAAACAUAACUUCAAUGACUUACUUGUAUUAAAUGAUUUCCAAUUCAUGAACCAGUUGAGACCAGUGUGGAUGCGUUUUCUCACAUCUGAUAGGUUGCAGGACAGUCCUAAGAAUUCACCACCGAGUUCAACAGGGGUGCCUUCCUCUCAUAAUCUCCAUGCCUGCAGCAAAUUGAAAACCUUUUAGUCAUUUUAUUAAAGUAUUUUAAUUCAUAAUAAUUAAAGUAUUUUAUUUAAGUGUUAAAGUUCUAUUUAUAGUAGUAGUAAUUAUUAUUAUUAUUAUUAUUAUUAUUAUGAGUGUGUGUGUGUGUCUUUUUUUGUUUUAAAAUUUGAAAAAAAAAAUUAAAACCAAAUUUGAAAAAUGUGAGUGAAAAUGAAAAUAAAGGAAAGGGGUAGGACGUGUCAGAUAGCAAUUGGCUGAGAUAUGCAGAUUGAAGGGUGUUUAGUUGGAGAUUUUUCUAUCAUUCAUAAAAUUAAAGACUUGGUUUUAUGUUUAUAUUAAAAAAGAGAAAUUAUUUAGCAAAUGAGAAAUUAAGAGAUAAAAAUAUUUAGCAAAUGAGAAAGAGAUGAAAAUAAACUCACAAUUAAUGUUUGCUGUUUUUAAUAAGAAGCAAGAGCCUUGCACCCUCAUUUAAUCAAACACCUCUUCUCCAUCUCAUUCUACCAAUACUGAACAAAGGGAGAAAGGACAUCCUUAGCAUCAGGCUGAUCCCAUUCCACUGAUUCCCACCAUUCUCUCGGGCUUACUAUGAUUCGUUUUAGAAAAGGAGGAGGCAAUGGUUUCCCAUUUUCAACAAGGGGAAGAGACAAUGGGAUCCUCUUUACUUCUGGACAAUCGAAUAAUGUGACAUGUUGGAGAGAAUCUACAGGAAUCACAAGUCCACCACGGCAUAUGCUUUUCAAUUUUGGUAAUUCUUCCAAGACUAAUGAUUUUAAUUUGGGAAGAAUAAAUGUUGUUCCUUCUCGUUCCUGAUUUUCUUCUGAUGCUAUUAUUUCCUCCAUUUCAUAACAAUUUCCAACUAUAAUUUCCUCUAAGUUUUGGAGGCUUUGCAACAGCUCAACUGGAUACAACUUCUUAAUCUCGUAACAAGAAUACAGUUUCAGUGUUUUAAGAGAAGAGAAGAAGGCAGGUGGUGUUGGAGCAUGAGAGGUAGAUUCAAUUUCUGCUGCUACUCCUACUCUCACAACUUCACGCAAGUUCCACAAUGACUCAAGCCAUAGCUCCUCAACGUUGUGAAGUGCGUUGCAAGACCAUGAUGACAAGUCAACCACACACUCUAUCCCUUCACACCUCCGAAUUCUACAUUUCUUCAAGUCAGUUGCCUUACGAAACAAAGGAAUAUGGCUUAAACAUUUGAAAUCAUUACACCCCUCAAUACGUAAAGUAUGAAGGUCAUUUGGGAGCACUACAUCGUCACACCUUUCUAUCUCCAAAUUUGUGAAUUCAACAUUUUUCUCAAUUUCGUUGAAAUCUGGGGAAUACCCAAUAUAAAUAUUCACAUCUGGUCCCACUUGAAAAUCGAAAGAUGUAGGCCAUUUACCUUGUGUAGACUCUGCAUAUUUCUUAAACUCUUGCAUGUCGCAAAAUGAACAUGAAACACACUCAAGCUUCCUCAAUUUGCCUACUUCUUCCCCCCUUAAAUGUAACUCCACCAGUAAGCAUUGCAGAUGAGAAAUCUUCACUAAUAUUCCCAUUGGUAGCUCCUUUAGAUGCGUUGACCCUAGACGAAAAUAUCUAAGGUUUUGUAACAUUUCUAUACCAUGAGGAAACUCCUCAAUGCUUGUACUAAAAAGGUCCAACUUUCUCAGUGCUCUGAGCUCUGCUAAUGAAGGCACAUAUUUUAACAUGUGACAAUUAGCAAGUAUCAAUGCAUUGAGAUUUUUCAACUUAGAGAUGGAAUUGGGUAGAUUCUCAAUCUCAUAAUUACCAGAAAGAUUUAGAACUUUUAGCCCAAGCAUGUGCUCAAAGAAAGAUUCUGAAAUCCUUUUUAAGUCACAAUAUUGCAAUAUCAAAGUUGACAAAUGAGGACAUUCAGGUGAUAUGUGAGCAGGGAUUUCUAUUAAUUUUGAAUUUCGCAUCAAAGAAACCUUCUCAACACUCGUUGUCCAUUCUUGCUCACUUGGUAGUUCCUCCAACUGCACAUUGGCUUUUACCAUGAACUGAUGACCUUUAAUAUACAAUGCCAGGUCUCUCAAAACAUCAUGCAUCUUAACUCCUCUUUCAUCCAAAUAAGUUUCAUCCCUCUCUAACAAGCAAUUAUUUUCAAGCUUAUUUAAAAUGCUAUGGCCUCUGUCAUGCAUUUCUUUUCUAGUCCUCAAGCCAUCAAGGAGUCCUUCAUCUAUCCAGUUUUCAAUUAAUUCAACUUUUUCAAUCACAAAAUCUUCAGGAUACAAGGAGCAAUAUAAGAAACAAUUUUGAAUUUUUGGAUCUUUCAAAUGGUCAUAACUGAACCUCAAACGCUCAAAUAUUUCAACAUCUGAUCCUUUCACACUUUUCACAUGCUCUUCUAAUUCAGUUAAUGCAUUUCUCCACUCACAAAUAUCAUUUACCCCCUUCAUGCUUUCAGCUAUUGUGACAAUGCUAAGUGGUAAACCGCCACAGUGCUCAACAAUUUUGUUGACAAUGUCUUUUAAAUUUUGAUCUUGUACAACACUAUGCCCCACAUGAUCUAAGAAUAAGUUCAUGGACUCUGUCUUUGAAAGUGGUUGCACUUUGACCACCUUACAAUCCAUAGAUUGACAAACCUCAAUCGAUCUACUAGUGAGUACAACUUUCCUCUCCAUGCCUAGUAUUGGUUCAGGGAUUCCCACAUCCAAUAAAGAAAAUCGUUUCCAAACAUCAUCUAAAAUUAACACAUAUCUUUUUCUCUCCAAAACAUCCUUUAUUGUUGUUGCUUGUUGCAAUUUAUUUUUAGGAAGAGAUUGUUUAAGAGAAUCUGCGAUAUCUUCUUGCAAUUUGAAAAUAUUCAAAUUUUUUGAUACAGUGACCCAUAUCACUUUAUCAAACUUCUCACUUUCCUUUAACAAUUGAUUAUUGAUAUGCUUCAUGAUGGUAGUUUUCCCUAUACCACCCAUUCCACAUAUUCCAAUCAUUCCAACCUUAUCACCCAUCAAAUACUUCCAAAUUUGCUCUAUUACAUCAAUUUCACCUUUUAUAUUUGGUGUUGGUAAUGUCACCCCAGCGGUUGGAGGCCCAUCAACUGCCACACCGUUAGGGAAACUACCUUGUUGGUGAAUUUCCUUUACCUCUUCAAUCUUUCGACAAACAAAUUUUCCAAAAUGACCACGUAAGAAGUAUGAAACAACACGGAACUUGGUUUCAAUCUUUUCCAUUUCAGUGUUUACCUUUUCUACAUCUUUAAACCAAUUCUCCACUUCUUUCUUCACCACUUUUCCAUGACGAAGCUCCGCUUCCUUUUUUAAUACGAGGUCUUCCUUUUGAUCAUUUAGAUCAUUCACUUUUCUUCGAAGAUCAUUCAUAUGUUCUUCAAGUUUCGGGUGAUGAUCUAUGUAUGUACAGAUUGGACCACCAAAGCACUUUAUUGCUUCAAAAAUUGGCCCUAUAAGCUCCAUAUAAGCUAUUCCCUGUAGUUUAAUAAACCAAGAUAUAUUAUAUCUCCAUAUGACAUAAGCUACUCCCUCUUUAUACUAAAAUUCUAUAUUUUCCAUAUAAUAUAGAAUAUGUUAGAAAAAAAUGUUACUAAAUAAAAGAUUUUUACCAAUUCUUCUUAAGAAAAAACAUAAUAUUUUUGAAAACAAUAUAAGAAAAAAGAUGUUUUUGUUUCCAUCAUGUUUGAGUAUAAUAUUUACAUUUCCAACACUGUUUAUAUCUAAAUGAAUGUAUUCAUUUUGCCCCUUAAAGAACCAUCGCAAAUUCUUGAAUAUAUCAUAUCUAUAUGGUUCCUAGUUUUGAUCAUUACAACAAUAAUAAAAGGAUGGUGAGAAUGGAGAAGUCAAUCUACUAUAAAUAUAUAAAUAACAAAAUUUUGAUAAAAGAAGGAAACGAUUUAAAAUUGAUAACUUCCUCUUCUAACACAUACACAUAUUAAAUAAAUGUUAUAUAUUUAUUAAUCAAUGCAAAAUUUUAAUUUUCAUAUUGAAAGACUAAAUUUACUAAAUUUGAUUAUCCAUUUUACACAUUUAAUAAAAAUUUAAGUUAGAAUAUGUAAGAAUAUCUAAUUGUUAGCGUUAAUAACUGUAGAAAUUACCAUUUAAUGUUGAAAAUGGAUAUUUUGACAAAAAAAAAUACAGGUAUAAUGCUAAAAAAACCCUUGAAUUAUUUACGAAAAUUUAAAAAAAAUUAUUCUUUUAUUAUGUUCAACCAUGCCCUUAUGCUUUUAUUUAAUUUAUAUUAAAUAAGCCUUUAUAACUAAUAGUUGAUUAAUUGUUAUUAAUCAAAAUAUCUCUCGUCAUUUUAUACUCACGUGGUGUUGAUGUGGCGUUGAUGUGUGGAGUAAAGAAUGAGAUAUGAUUAUGUCAUCAUACCACAUCAACAAGCUUUAAAAUAUCUUAAACAAUAAUUACAAGAAUAAACUGAGAAUGCAGAAUGACAUUAAAAAUACAUAAUUUCUUCUACAAAUUAUUUGGAAAGACGAAGAGCAGAGGUUAAGUUGACCAGUCAAUAAUUAAUUCCUUGGCUCCUUGUUAGGUACUACUCCUAUCUUGAGAGGACGUUGGUUAAAUAUGGGGAGAAAGGGACUGUCAAAAAAAAAUUAUCGGGAGAAAGGGAAGAUUAAUAUAUAAUUAUUCAUAAACAGUUGUUUUUAUACUAGAGCUAGAAUAUUUCCUUAUAUUGGAGGUUUAUUAUAAAAUAAAUCAGGGCUAGUACAACUAAUCUAUUUAAACUUAACGGCCAUUUUUUCUUUUGAUGGGAAAAAUAAAAACAAAGAGAAUUUCACAAACAUCUCAUAUAAGAUUAAUAAAUGUCAUAUAUUUGUAUUAAAUAAAUGUCAGGUAUCAAUGUAAAGUUUUAAUUUUGAUAUUCAAAGACUAAAUUUAGUACAUUUGAUUAUUUUCAUAUAUUCAGUUUACACAUUUAAUACAAAUUUAAAUUAGAUAAUUAGGUAAGAAUUUCUAAUUGUUAGCCUAAAUGAAUAUUGAAAUGACCACUUAAUGUUAAAAAUGGAUAUUUUCAUGCAAAAGCAUAUAUUUGAUAGCAUAACUCAAACAAAAGAAAAACUUUAUACUAUUAAAAUUUGCACUGAUUCCAUUUCGUUCUUUUCUAAUUGUUUCAUAAUGCUUGUAUUGUCUAUUAUUUCUAUUAAUUUUUUUUAACAAUUACUCCUAAUUUGAAUUUUCAGUACUUAUUACUAAUAUAAUAGUUAGUCAACAAUUUACAGUCAAAAUUUACCUUAUAUAAUUACUUAUUGCUUUACCUUACAAAUAUGAGAUGUUGGUACAUUUUUGUUAGAGACUAUAGUUGCUUAGGUUAUUUUAAUCCUUUUUUUCCCAUAUAUUUUGUCUACUAAUAUUUAGUUUUAUGGUUCCCUAGUCUCAAUUCCAUCAUCAAAAGUUUGAUUUCUUCUUUUUGUAUGCCUCUUUGAAUUAUUCAAUUCGAUCUUUAUAUAUAUUUUGACCUCUUUGAUUUAUUAUUAUUUGGUAAUUAUGUAUUUCGAAGUCCUUGCUGAAUUAUUCAAUUUCUUUAUUUUUUUAGUAAAUUGUUUUACUAUGCUCAUAUUUGUAAAUUUUCAUCAAAAUCAAUUACUCUUCCAACUAUCAAGAUCUUUAAGACAUUAUUGAUCAACAUGCAUAAUUCCAAUUUUUUUUUUUGGCAAUUUUUUAAUGUUCUUAUUUAGAUUCUAAAUUAAAAGAAUUAUUGUAAAUAACAUCAUCACCCUUGUACUGAACUGACUAAAUAUAGUUUUGAAUAAUAAUAAACAUCAUCUAGGCCAAAAAUAAUAAUAAAAUAUUAAACAUCAAUGACCAAAGAAAUAUUAAGCAUUUUGAAUAUUCGUAAAGAUUUUCAAUUGAGUCUCCUUGAUGAAUUAUUCAAUUUCUUUAUUUUUUAAGUAAAUUGUUUUACUUUAUUCGUAUUUGUAAAUUUUCAUUAAAAUCAUUUAUUCUUCUAAUUAUCAAGAUCUUUACGACGUUGUUCAUUGCAUGGGAAAAUUUUCAUUAAAAUCAUAUAUUUUAUGUUGUUAUCAAUAUUCCUAACUAAAAAGUAUAUAUUGUAAAUAAAAUCCUCAACCUCGCAUUGCACGGGCUAAAUCUAGUUUUCAAUAACAUCACCUAAAAUAAUAAUAAUAAUAAUAAACAUCAAACAACCAAGCAAAUAUUAAUCAUUUUGAAUAGUGUAAUCUAUCCAUACGUAAGGAAUAGUAUAUCUUUUCGAUAAUUAGAACAAGAAAGCUUGUGAAAACAACAAUAUAUCUCAAAAAAGACAUUUGAAAAAUACUUGCCAGAAUAAACAGAGAAUGACAUACAAAACACCUGGUUUCUUCUUCAAAUUAUUUGGAAAGAUGAAGCCCAAAGGUCAAUUAAAAUGAUCCACAAACCUCCCUGACUCUUUGUUCAGCACAAACUUCUUAGGCAGAAGAAACAAAUUGACAUAAAAUUAACAAGGAAAAUUAUUUUAAUAAAAAUGAAAAUUUUAUGUGCUAAAAUUUUCAGAAUCAUUCAUUUUCAGUUUUCACUAACUAUAAUUAAUUUUCACCUAAUUAAGUGAAAAAAAGCAUGACACAGACCAAUAAACAAAAUAAUUAUGUGGAAGGAAAGAUGAUGAAUCUGUGUUAUAAAUCUAAAAUAUGAACCCAUAUCUAUACUAAACAGUUUAAUUUACCUAGUCAAAUGAGGCAGAUGAGCUGAUACUUCUAUCCUCAAGGAUUCUUGCUUAAGUUUGCAAAAGUAGAUCUCCUUGCAAAAAAUUGUCAAGAAAAUAGCAACAAGCAGAUCUCCUUCCGAAAAUAUCCUCUAUGAAGGAAAAUGAAUAAUGAAGCACAUGAGUUAUUGAAAAGUGGGAAAGAUUAAUAUUUAUGUAAGAAACUGAAAUAAAUGCCCAACUUGUGUCUUAAUAUUGACAUGGAACUUAUAAUAAGAUGAAUUUAUGUUAUAAUUUAAGAUUCUGAUUAAUUAAUGUUAUCAAAGAUAAAACUAAAUCAUAAGUACACACAACUUAAUUCAGUAAGGCAGUGAAGUGAUAUUUCUAUCCUGAAAAGACCCUCAAUUAAUUGGAGAAACAAGUGCAGUCAAGAAAAAUAGCAGCAACAAAUAGAUUAUCUCCUUGCAAAAAAGAAAUCCCCAAUCCUAUGAGAGAAGAGAAUCAAUGGAUUAUGAAGAAAAAAAAUUAAAGUCGGCAGCACCCAAUCAAUUGACUCUUUGGUUGAUGCAUGAUUCUUUUUUAUCUAAAGAGUAGGCUUUAAAUCCCUCUUUCCCCAAUUAAAAAGAAAGAAUAAAAAUCAGAAAAUAUAAAGAAAAUGAAUUAUGAAAAACAUGAACUAUUGAAAAGUGGGCAAGAUGAAUAUUUGUACGGAUCUUAUGUUAAGAUGGGUUUGUGUUAUAAGGUAAGUUUCUGAUUAAUUAAUGUUACCAAAGAUGAAAGCAAAUAAUAAGCAUAGACAGUUUACCUGGGUCAGUGAGGCAGUGAAUUAAUUGAUACUUCUAUCCUCAAAAGGUCUUUAUUAAUUUUCGGAAACAAGCAUGUGGAAGAAAAAUAAACAGCAACAAGCAGAUGAUCUCCUUGCCAAAUUAAAAGAAAAUCCUAAACUUAAUCUUCCGUGAGAGGAAAAUUAAUGAAUUAUGAAGCAAAUAAGAGUUAAAAGUCAAUCCAAAGUCGUCGCACUAGUUGUGAAGUCACUUUCCUCGGAGCUGUUUCACAAUAAUGCAAAUGUGAAUAGAAGAAAAACUGGCAAAGUAGGACAGAAUUAUGGGGCCACUUAUCCUACUCUCCUUCAUUAUUUGAAAAGAUAAAUUGUUGAAGAAUAGCCCUCAAUUGGGGUAUUUCCAUUCCAUCAUCCGCUGUUUAAAUCAGAAAAAAAGAAGCAGCAAAGCAAAGCCAAGGUAAGAUGAUAGCAGCUAGGAAAAUCUCUUGUCCAAAUAUUAAUAUAUAUCUUUCGUGCCAAGAGAUAAUAAAUUAUGAGAAAAAAUAAUUAAUAGUCGUUGGGAAAGGUGAGUCAAUGCAGCAAGUCAUCGUUAAAAUUAAAUUAUGGGAAAAAAAAUAAUAGUAGGUGAGACAAUGCUGUAAGUCAUUGCUAACAUUGCUAACGUUUGCACCAAACUUUAAAUUAUGGGGAAAAAAUUAAUUAAUAGUCAAUGAGUCAAUGCUGCAAGUCGUUGCUAACAUUCCGAACGUUUGAACCAAACUUUAAAUUAUGGGGAAAAAAAUAAUUAAUAGUCAAUGAGUCAAUGCUAAAAUAUUGCUAACAUUUGUACAAAACUUUAAAUUAUGAGAAAAAAAUAAUUAAUAGAUAGUGAGUCAAUGCUAACAAUAUUGCUAACAUAUGUACAAAUCUUAUAUAAAUCUUAAUAAUUAUUAUAUGAAUCUUCUAUAAAGCCGAUUGACUUGAGAAAAGAUAAACAGGGAAAGUAAGGUUAUCCUCGAAUUUUUUCUUUUUAUUAACAUAUGACAAGUUCCCAGGCAAAAGCGAAAAUUCAAAUUAUUUCUAUAAUGAAGGGCUAAUUAACACCUUAUUAAUUGUUAAUUAAGUCUCCUUAAAACUACUCAUUCAGAUAAAUCAUAAUGUUUUUCCUUUUGAUAUAUAUAAAAAAGCUGUUCUAACUAUAUGAAUUUGUUCGAUCAUUGAUUUUCUCAAUCAAUCAGUUAGAGUUGAGCAGCAGAUAAUGUUUUAAGAAGUUGACGUGAAUAAAAUAUUGUGAGACAAUGAGCAGAGGGAAUGAGUAAACAAAUAUAUUACUCGACUCUAUAACAAAGAGUAGGAACUUCAAAUGUCAAUCUAUGAUUUAAUUAUCGGAUUAAUAUGUGCUACUAACACAAUCAAUGGUCCUGAAUAUCAAGAGUUGUUUGUUAUUAACACUACUCUGAAUUAGUAUUUGUAAUGUUUUUCCUUUAUUCUUAAUCAAUUCUAGAUAUGGAAAUUUGUUUGACCGUUGGCUUUCUGAAUCUAUCAGGAAUUGAAUAGACAAGGUGUUGUUAUAGGAAAGUUCAUGCAAUUGAAUACAUAAAGUGUGAAGUAAUGAGCAGCCAUUUUUAAUUAUUGAUUAAGUUGCUGCAGUUCUGAAACUCGUGAUUAUGAUGAGAUGUAAAUUUGAUGAAGUUAUUAUAACCCAAGAUUAAUUUAAUCAGCUAUCAAUGUCAAAGAACUUCACUUUCCUAGCUCAUAAACCGUGAACAGCCAUUUUUAAAUCUUGCUUGCAGUGUGUACAGAUCAUAUAUCUCAGAUGAUAGAGUUCGGCAGGAAAUCAAUCGAAUGAUUGGGCUAAAGCCAAGAUCUUCCAUGCUGAUAAGAAUAAAUGUAUCUGAUUGAGAGAAACUGAAUAUGCCUACUCCAUAAAAACAAUGAAUCAAAAUAUUAUUAUGCCUGUAAAUAUUUUUAUGGUACAUUAAAGGCAAAGAACUUGACAUGGGACAGGCAACAAGAUCGUCGAUAACAUCAUCAAUGAUUACAUUCGAGCCUUCUAUUAAGUUUAUGUAACAAAUACAAAUAAGUAAUGGCUUAUCAUGCAUUCUUAUUUUUGUUAUGAUAUGAGCAUUAAACGACUCUUCCUCAAUGAAACAUCUGAAAGAGUGUAGGAUAAAAGAAAUCAAAACAAUUUACAACUGAUGAAGUUUCAGUCCAGUCAUCUUGUUAAUGUCUCUGUGAGACAAAUAUACCGCAAGUAGGCACUUGCAGGGUGCUAUGCUCAAAUUGGGACUAAACUACCGGUAUCAAAGCCUAAGGUACAAAACAUACUGCUCAAUAGCAUAUAAUAAUAAUGACUUGGAGAUGAAAGAGUUAAGUAUACAGUUAAUCAAUUAUCGAGCAUCUAGUACUGACAGGGUCAUUUCAUUUGUCGAAGAAGAUACAUGAUUGUCUGAUGAAGAACCUUCUUCAUGAAGUGGUCUUUUCAGCAAUAGAAAACUACGUUGUAUGGGUGUGGCAAUUUAGUUUCACUUCCCAACAUCAGAAUCACAGAUGACAUACUUGGCCUAUCCUCAGGAUGCUGUUGUACACUUAAAAGACUAAUAUGGAUGCAUUGUAUCACUUCUAAUAGGUUGCAAGACUCUUCUAAGCAUUCUUCAACAAGUUCUGAAGGGUGCCUUAUUUCCAUAAUCUCCAUGCCUGCAACAAAUUGAAACCCUUUUAGGUUUUAUCAGACCAAGAUAAGCAACUAAAAUUUGAUUAUAAUCCCUGCUUAAAGAGCAGGGUUCAAAUCCCCCUUCCCCCAAGUCCAAAAAAAAAAAAUCGGCUGAAACUGACAUGCUCAACAAGGUUGGCGCUCUGAGUUGGAUGGUAAAGGCCUCUAUCUUUCUUCCCACUUAAUAUCUCCAGCAGUAAUAUACCAGAGCUAAAGACAAUUGAUUUUGCUGAAAAUAGUCCAUCAAUAGCAUAUUCUGGUGCCAUAUAACCACUGCAGAACAUCAUUUAAAGCAAUAAAUAUAUGAGGAUUUUUAGACAUUAUGAAAUAAAGUGACACUUACUAAGUUCCAGCCACUCUUUUAGCAUUCCCUUCAGUUUGGUCUCCUCCAAAAGUUCUAGCCGAGCCAAAAUCUGAAAAUUUUGGAUUCAUCUCACUAUCAAGCAGGACGUUACUACCUUUAAGAUCUCUAAAUAAUCCUCAAUCCUGAAUCUUGAUGAAGAUAGAGUAGUCCCCUAGCAUUGUCACAGAUAAUUCCCAAACUCUUGGACCAAUUCAGUCCUUUACUUCUUGUUUGAUCUGGCAAUUGGUAGGUAUUCUCUUCAUGUCAGUCCAAUAUCAUUUUUGAUCUUUGGAAGCAGCAAACUGCACCAUGUGUAAAAUGUAUGAAAUAUUUAUAAUAAGAGAAACAAUAAACCAAACCAAAUUGACAGGUUUUCAAUGAUUCAGACCACAAAUGAAUGAGUGAAGGCUUCUGUUAAGCAUGUACUCAUAAACCAGCAGUCUUUACUUUCUGUGAAUGCACCACCCAAGAAGCCUUACAAGAUUCUGAUGUUGAAGUUUGGCAAUCAAUUUUACUUCAUUUUUAAACUCUUUCAAUCUUGUCCAGAACUUUUUGAAAGCCUCUUCACAGCAAUUUCUUGUCCGUUUGCUAGUGUCCCCUGGAAAACUACACUUUAGAUUGAGCUUCAAUAAUAAAGAUAAAUUCUCUGUACUUAAGGUAACUUCAAUUAUAUGAUGCAACUUUUACCUUAUAAACAGUUCCAAAACCACCUUCCCUUACCUUGAUGUCCACAGAAAAGCUAUCAGCAGCACGAGCUAUGGUAUGAGGCUCAAAUAUUGGAAGCUCCAUGUCUUCAUCUUGGCCUUGAUUUUCUUGAUCAUUUUCCUUAUUGUCUUUUGUUUCUCUGAAACAGUAGCCAAAAUAGGCUUGGCAAUCACCAUAAAAUAUGAUAGAUUCUUAUGCAUUUUGAUUGAGCUAGAUAAUUGGACAAAAAGCUGAUGUGGUUUUUGAGAUCACACAAGACCAUGCAUCUCCAGUCAUUUGCUUCAUUAAAAACUCUAUUUUCACACUGAUAAGCAUUGAAGAAACUGCAUGUUGAUUUGCUAGCAUCACUAUUAACAAAGUAAUUUUUAACAAAGGAACAAAAUGAGCAUUUUUGUGAAGGAUAUAUCAAAGUUACCUUUCAACUUUCUGGGGCUUCUGUAAAUGUAAUAACUGACAAUAAACAGCCCCGAAAGCACAGGACAGUAGUGUUCUAAUCACUGCAGCAAGCUCCAUCCUAAGCUUAUCUUUCAAUUCUGUAUGACGGAAUUUGAUAAAGAAAAGCAUAUAUGAACAAAAAAAAGUAAUGAAAACAAGAGAAAAUGUACACUCAUACCUGAUUUUGAAGCAGACAUUCUAACAUAUAGAUCCUGCCCUACUGAUUGAAACUGUUUGUAAUCAAUCAAAUUAUCAAACCAAAAGGCGCAACCACAACCUCUUCCUCCAUUAUCUGAACUAGUGUAUGCUUGGCUUUCUGCAUUCCAUGUGAAGUCUUGUAUCAUCAGUUUGGUUGAGAACAAGUCCUGUGAUCAAUGAUUUCUAUUUGAGACAUUUUGUAUGGUUGAAAUAUCAAAUAGAAAUACCAGGCUGAUAGAUCAUGCAUUCUUUUAUAGGAUGAUGUGAUUGACUGACUCUUCAUCAAUGAACUAUACACAAAGUGCAGUAGAAAACAAGUAACAAACAUUUAGAUUUAUGAUAACUUGUCAAUAUGGGGGGCUAAACUUCUUUGAUAAAAAUUCGAAGUUUAUUUCAUGAUGUCCUGAGCUUAGCUAGGCAUCUUUCUAAACGCUCAAAAAGCGUUUUAUAGCUAAUGGACAGAUUAGUGAUCUGAAGAGGUAGUAAUCUUGUUUUUAAUCUUUAGCCAGGGCCUUUUGGCUAGCUGCUCACUCACUUUCAAAGAAGUGCUUCUAAACAUUUAUGAGAAAUAGGGGAUGCUCUGUUUGUAAUUGCAGGGUAAAGACAAAUUUUUAAUUAGUGGUUUGUCAUGACCAGUAAUAUCUCUCCAAUACCUAUGUUGAGAAGAGAGAAAAAUAAAAUGGCUAAGAGCAAUGUUAUACAUGAAAUGGGUUUACAUAGACAUUGAGUUUCAAAGGAGCCGUAGCUGGUACUGUUAUAAAGUUUGGACUGAGAAGGAGAAAGUUUUAUGCAUCAUUUUGUGGAUGAAUGAGGUAAGAAGAUUUAGUACAUAAAAAGGUAUUCGAUUGGGGAUUUUACCGCCAUACAUAAAAUUAAAAACCUUAUUUUCUUUUUUAUAAAAAGAAGAGCAAUUAUAUACCAAAUGAGAAAGAGAUAAAUGAAUAAAAAUAAAAACAGAAUGUUUGCAAUUUUAACAAGAAGCAAGAGGGCACUGUACCAUUGAGGGCCGUGGAGCCACAUUUAAUCGAAUAGCUCUUCUCCAUCUCAUUCUAAUUAUAUGUAACAAAGGGAGAAAGGACAUCCUUAGCAUCAGGCUGAUUCCAUUUCUUCUCCUUUGUGAUUUUCUUCCGAUGCUAUUAUUUCCUCCAUUUCUUCACAACUGCUAACACUAAUUUCCUCUAAGUUUUGGAGGCUCUUCAACAGCUCAACUGGAAACAACUUCUUAAUCUUCGAACAUCUACACAUAUCUAAUAUUUUAAGAGAAGAGAAGAUGGUAGGUGGUGUUGGAGCAUCAGAGUAAUUCUUUAGCAAAUGAGAAAGAGAUGAAAAUAAACUCACAAUUAAUGUUUGCAGUUCUUAAUAAGAAGCAAGAGCCUUACAGCCACAAUUAAUCAAACACCAAUUCUCCAUCUCAUUCUACCAAUAUUGAACAAAGGGAGAAAGGACCUCCUUAGCAUCAGGCUGAUCCCAUUCCACUGAUUCCCACCAUUCUCUCGGGCUUACUGUCAUUUUUGGUAGAGAAGGAGGAGGAGAUGGUUUCCCAUUUUCAACAAGGGGAAGAGACAAAGGGAUCCUCUUAACUUCUGGACAUUCAACUAUAUGAAGAAAUUGGAGAGAAUCUGCAGGAAUCAUAAGUCCACCGCUGCAAAUGCUUUUCAAUUUUGGUAAUUCUUCCAAGACUAAUGAUUUUAAUUUGGGAAGAAUAAAUGUUGUUCCUUCUCCUUUGUGAUUUUCUUCUGAUGCUAUUAUUUCCUCCAUUUCAUCACAAUAUCUAACAUCAAUAUUCUCUAAGUUUGGGAGGCCUUGCAACUGCUCAACUGGAAACAACUUCUUCACCCUCGAACAAAAACUGAUAUCUAAUUUUUUAAGAGAAGAGAAGAUGGCAGGUGGUGUUGGAGAAUGAGAGGUAGAUUCAAUUUCAACUGCUACUCCUACUCUCACAACUUCACGCAAGUUUUUCAACAAAAAUAGGCGUAACUCCUCAAUGUUGUCAAGUGCGUCACAAGACGAUAAUGACAAGUCAACCACACACUCCAUCCCUUUACACUGCCAAAUUCGACAUUCCUUCCAGUCAGUCGCCUUACGAAACAAAGGAAUGUUGUUUAAACAUUUGAAAUCAUCAUACUUGUCAAUAGUUAAAGUUUGAAGGUCAUGUGGGACCACCCUAGGGACCAGUCUGAUGAGUUCUAUCUUUCAGGGAAUUCAGGCUUAAACAUCAACUUUCAGGGAAUUAAGGCUUGAAUCCUUCAAAAAGUGGGAGCUGAGUACCAUCACAAUUCCCUUUUGAACCACAAAGUCCAUAUCUGUCAAAAUAGUCUCUUGGAGCAAAUGAGAAAAGCAUCCAAGCUUGCUUUCUGCAUUUCAUGUGUAGUCCUGUGAUCAAUGAUUUCUAUUUGAGACACUUAUGAUGGUUGACAUAAAAAAUAGAAAUACCAAGUGGGUAGAUCAUGCGCUGUUUUCAUAGGAUAAUGUGAUUGAUUGACUUUUGAUGAAUGAAGUAUACACAAAGUGCAGCAGAAAACAAAUUAUAAACAUUCUCUUCAUUGGACAAACAUAACUUCAAUGACUUACUUGUAUUAAAUGAUUUCCAAUUCAUCAACCAUUUGAGACUAGUGUGGAUGUGCAGGAUAGUCCUAAGAAUUCAUCACCAAGUUCAACAGGGGUGCCUUCCUUCCUCCCAUAAUCUCCAAGCCUGCAGCAAAUUGAAAACCUUUUAGUCAUUUUGCUAUAUCUUUCAACAUUUUAAUUCAUAAUAAUCAAAGUAUUUUUGAAACAUGCGAGUGAAAAUGAAAAUAAAGGAAACGGGUGGGAAGGUGUAAUAGGAGGGGAUGUAGGAAAUGUGAGAUAGCAAUUGGCGGAGAAAUGCAGAUUGAAGGGUGUUGAGUUGGAGAAUUUAUUUUUAUAUUAAAAAUAAAAAGUUAAAGACUUAGUUUUAUUUUGAUAUUAAAAAAGAGAAAUUAUUUAACAAAUGAGAAAUUAAGAGAUAAAAAGAGGACGUGGAUGAAAAUAAACUCACAGUGUUUGCAGUUCUUAAUAAGAAGCAGGAGCCUUACAGCCACAUUUAAUCAAACACCUCUUCUCCAUCUCAUUCUACCACUGAGAAUAUCGAAGAAAGGGAGAAAGGACAUCCUUAGCAUCAGGCUGAUCCCAUUCCACUGAUUCCCACCAUUCUCUCGACCAUACUGUGAUUUCUUUUAGAGAAGGAGGAAGAGAUGGUUUCCCAUUUUCAACAAGGGGAAGAGACAAAGGGAUCCUCUUUACUUCUGGACAUUUGAUUAUAUAAAGAUAUUGGAGAGAAUCUGUAGGAAUCAUAAGUCCACCACUGCAAAUGCUUUUCAAUUUUGGUAACGUAGCCAACUUUAAUGAUUUUAAUUUGGGAAGAAUAAAUGUUGUUCCUUCUCCUUUGUGAUUUUCUUCUAAUGCUAUUAUUUCCUCCAUUUCAUCACAAUAUCUAACAUCAAUAUUCUCUAAGUUUGGGAGGCCUUGCAACUGCUCAACUGGAAACAACUUCUUCACCCUCGAACAAAAACUCAUACGGAAUCGUUUAAGAGAAGAGAAGAUGGCAGGUGGUGUUGGAGCAUGAGAGGUAGAUUCAAUUUCAACCGCUACUCCUACUCUCACAACUUCACGCAAGUUUUCCAUCAAAAAUAGGCCUAACUCCUCAAUGUUGUCAAGUGCGUCACAAGACGAUGAUGACAACUCAACCACACACUCCAUCCCUUCACACUCCCCAAUUCGACAUUCCUUAAAGUCAGUCGCCUUACGAAACAAAGGAAUGUUGUUUAAACAUUUGAAAUCAUCAUCCUUGUUAAUAGUUAAAGUUUGAAGGUCAUGUGGGACCACCCUAUCAUCACACCUCUCUAUCUCC